rnacentral:lncRNA from 1 species
UAUCCAGCAAGUCCUAGAAAACUGUGGAUCUUCCCAACUGAGGUGGAUGCCAACCACUCAGUUACAGACUGAACCUUGGUGGGGUCUACUGCUAUACCUUCUCCUGAUAUAACAUGUCCAAGAAAUCCUACUUCCUUCAACCAAAAUUCACAUUUGUUGAGCUUGGCAUACAAUUGAUGUUCCCUGAGCUUAUCGAGAACUAAACGCAAGUGUUCCUUGUGUUCCUCUUCAUUCUUCGAGUACACCAAAAUAUCAUCAAUGAACACCAGUACAAACUUAUCCAAAAACUCCAUGAACACCUUAUUCAUCAUACUCAUGAAGUAAGCAGGGGCGUUGGUCAAUCCAAAUGACAUGACCGUGUACUCAUAUAGCCCAUACCUUGUGGUGAAAGCUGUCUUAGGUAUAUCUUUUUCCCGGAUCUUCAACUACUGGUAUCCUGAUCGCAGAUCGAUCUUCGAAAAUACUUUAGCUCCUUGCAGCUGGUCAAACAAAUCGUUGAUCAUCGGUAGUGGGUACUUGUUCUUGAUCAUUACUUCAUUUAAUGCAUGAUAAUCAACAAUCAUUCUCAAAGAUCCGUCCUUCUUCUCAACCAAAAGCACCGGGGCUCCCCACGGGGACGGACUUUGUCGAAUAUAACCUUUCUCCAGUAGCUCCUUAAUCUGCUUCUUAAUUUCCACCAGAUCAUUUGCGGGCAUCCGAUACAGUCUCUUUGAUAUUGGUCCGGUGCCUGGCAACAACUCUAUCAAAAAUUCUAUGCCCCGAUCUGGUGGCAUGCCUGGUAGUUCCUCUGGAAAUACAUCCAGGUAAUCCUUCAGAAUAGUCACUUCUUCCUGAACAACCCUUGAAAGAGAAUUUACUUGGGUCCUCCUUGACAAAUGUCUAGAUACAUACUUGAUCCUUUUUCCCUCUGGGGUGGUGAGCAGAAUUAACUUACUAGCACAGUCAAUGUUUCCUCCAUACUUCGAUAACCAAUCCAUGCCUAAUAUUAUACCCAAUCCUUGUGACUCCAAAAUUAUUAGGUCUGAGGGGAAAACAUGGCUACAAAUGGUCAAGGGUAACCGAUCAUACCAUCGGCUGGCCAUAUACUCUGCUCAUGGUGAGCUUACUAACAUGGGUGGCCUAAGGGCUAAGGUUGGUAACUUAAACUUGUCCACAAAUCCCCUUGAUAUGUAUGAAUGCGAUGCACCAGUAUCGAAAAGAAUGAGUGUGGUAAAUGACUUAAUAAAAAACUUACCGAUCACUGCGUCAGGCUAUUCUUCAACCUCCUCCACGUUGAUGUGGUUCACCUGACCUCUGGUGAAGGGAUUGGGCUUCUUCCCAGAGUUUCCAUUUCCAUUGCCAUUCUUCAACUCAGAACAGUCGUUGGCGUAGUGCCCUGUCUUCCCGCACUUGUAAUAGGUAACAUGGCUCAGGUCCUUCUUGGCGGGCGUUGCUGGGUUGGGGCGGUUUUGGCUACUGCUUGCUCCAUUCCCGUUUCCAUUCUUAGGCCCAUUAUGGUUAUGGGAACUUCCUCCAUUGUGAGUAUGGCCUCCAUGGUUAUGGGUGUAACCUCCGGGGUUAGGGGUAAAGCGAGGCUUCUGCUGAGCUCCAGAAUUGUACUUCCCCUGUCCAUACUUCCGUUUGCGGCUCUCUAUCUGCUGUUGUUUGCUUUUAAUCAUCAGGGCCCGGUCUACCAACUCCUGAUAGUUAGUGAAUGUUGCCACCAUCAACUGCAUACUCAUCUCAUCAUUCAGUCCUUCCAUAAACUUCUCCUGCUUCGUGGCAUCUGUGGCCACAUCAUCUGGGGCAUAACGGGCUAACUUAAUAAACUCAUCCAUGUACUGCCUCACAGUACGGUUUCCCUGGCAUAAGUUGCGGAACUCACGCUUCUUCAUAUUCAUAGCUCCAGUUAAGACAUGGGCUAUGCGGAAUGCUUGAUGAAACUGAUCCCAUGUGACAAUAGCUAUGGGAAAAGUGGUUGUGUAAUUCUCCCACCAUGAGGUUGCGGAUCCAUCUAGUUGGUGUGCGGCAAAGCGCACCUUCUCCGCAUCUGUGCAACCUCCGUGGUCAACUCCCUUCCAAUCCUGCGUAGCCAAUCAUCAGCAACAAUGGGCUUGGUGCUAAUGGAAACACCGGCUGAUUCAACCUCAGAAAACGGGCUAAGUUGUCCACUGGAGGUAGUGGCGGUGGGUUGUUGUUAUUGUUGUUGUUGUUGUUGCCUUGGUUCUGAACUAGUAGCUGCAUCAAGGCAUUCUGCUGUUGGAUCAACUGAGUGAGCUCCAGUGGGAAGACAAAUCCGGGGCCAUGUCUCGGAGGCAUCUGAUGGGUUUAGAGGGGAGAGAUUAGAAUAGAAUGAGGUCUAAGAAGAAAAACACUACCCAUAUGCACAUGAGACAAACACAUUCAUAUCACACCACUCAAUUCAAACAAGGGCAUAUAAUCGAUCUAGCUAUCGUUACAAAAUACUCGGACUACUACUAUAUACAUGGGGGGAAUACUAUUGAUAAUAUGGUGGUCGACUAGAAAUUUUGAUCGGUGGAAGACUCCAUGAUAUCCGCUCCAGCUUCGUCUUUGUAAUCAUCAUCACUACUGUCGGGGUCGGAGUCGGUGUCGUCGAUGAUGAUGUAGUCCUUGGGAUGGUCAUCAUCUCCUCCUGGCGCGGGGUCUCCCAUGAAUACUCCUAGCUUCCUCGUCAGGUCAUCAUUCUUUUCUACUAGUAUUGCGAUUUACUCCUCAUAUCCGUCGCGUGUAGACUUGAGUUCCUCUUCAAGCUCCAUGUUCCUAGUCAUCAACUUCUUCAGAUCUAUCAUGCUUGCGCACAUUUGGUUCUCAUGGCGACGAAUGUGGUGGUUUAACUCCUGGAUGAAGGCUGCAAUGGAUUUGUCCCUCCUGGUGAUGAUCAUCUCCCAUUGCUCAUCUCGGCGCCCACAUAUCUGGUAGAUUGUGUCCUCAAGAUCCUUGUUGUAGACUUCGCCGAUGCGUCCCAUGGCGAUGUGGGCUGCCAUGCUCUUUCCUAGACUCCAGGUUGGUGCAUCAAAGGAAACUCUAUGGGCUCAAUAACUGGCAUGAAUGUCCUUCCUGGAACAUGAACUCGAAUCAUCCAACGCUCCUCUUCUGGUAAAGUGGCGGUGUAGGUCCCGGUGAAGCUUGGUAUUUCAAUGUUCAGGUACCUAGUGACUUCCUUCAAAUGUCGUCCAAACGGUGUGUCUUCAUCCGGUUGAGCAAACUUGUUCCUUGGGUCCGCCAUCUAUAGAGUGGAAAAUGGAGAGGAUUCAGAAAUGAGUAGAGAAGAGUGGCCUAUGGCUUAUCUUAGUGGUCGCGUCCUACAACCAGCGUGUGAUUUGAUACCAUCUUGUAGUGAUCCAACCUCAAACGGUCAAAUCUCUGUGCGUAAGUGUCAUCCCUGGAUCGGUAGACAAACAAAAUACUUGAAGGAUUUAUAAUAGAGUUGCAAUCACACACUUAUUACAUCGAAUAUCUCAUAAGAGAGUACUUAUUACAAUAAUGUGGCUGAAGGCCAUCUAAUAAGAUAACAGCGGAAGGCUCGGAAGAUAAAGCGAGUCCAUCAACUCCAACAGCAUAGCUGAGUGCAAAACAACGACCUAGUGGACCUUACUCUUCGUCUGAAAAGUCCGCAACAUAAUACGUUGCAGCCCGAAAACAGGUCAACACAUGAAAUAUGCUCGCAAAAUAACACUGUAGAGCAAUGAACAUGUAUCAGCUACAACUAUAUGCAUAUUUGGCUGGUGGAGGCUCUAUGGUUAUUAUGUUUUUUUGCGAAAAGCCAAUUUUCCCCUACAAUAAAGGAAUAUAUUUUAUUUAACUAUCAUGGUAGUAGUUAAACAUUGAGAAUGGUAAACCCCAUCUCACUCCCAAUUAAAGUAAUCAUUAACCCAACAAGUUAAUUAAAUAUAGUGAUGAGAUCAACAAAAUAAUUCAAUCACCAAAUACUCAAGAUGUCCAUAACUGGGGACACGGCUAAUCAUGAUUAGUUUGUACACUCUGCAAAGGUUUGUGCACUUUUCCCCACAAGACUCGAUCUCCUCCGUUGGAUUUUCUCGCACUACAUGAUGUUUGAGAAACGGAUGACCGAGACACAGUCUUUCAGAAGCAUUAGCCCUUUUGACGGGUAAACCGUACCACCUACAUCCCCUACAUCUGCUAGUUUACCACUGAAAGAAGUCACGCAACCUACUCAACUAUGCCAGAGCCCAUAAUGGCUUGUGGCUGCACACGGAAGUUUCCGGCAUGAAUAACAAUAUGAUCCCUUUGAGCCUGUGUGGCGGACCAUAGGAUGAUCACACGGAUUCCCCGGGAUCUCCUUGGACAGCACUGGAUUGCCCCAGGUGCCCACAAACAAUCCACCCAGAUGUGUGUUAAAGUAGCCACCUUAAAUAAACCCUUAGUUCAUAAUAACACUCACAACUGUCAUGGAUCACUCAAACCAAACCACGUCUAUGAGCAUAGCAUAGCAGUAUAAGCAUAACGUAGAAGUAACUCCCAGGGUUUGAUAUAAAGGACAAUAGGUUUUGCCUCAUCAUCUACUUCCCAAUACCCACAUGUUAUCAAUCCUACUCAUGCAAUGUUUGAGGGUUGAAACUAAUGCAUAAAACUGGGUAAUAAAGGGGUAUGAUCAAAGUGUUACUUGCCUUGCUAACGAUCUGCAAAUCCUAGAGACUCGUAGUAGCACGCUCCGCAUUCCGGAAACUCAAUCGCAAACAAACAAUAGCAUACAUAAGCACUCAAGCAAUAUGUCAAGGGAAAACUCAGAUGAGAAAGUACAAAUUGAAAGUUCAAAUGAAGAGCUUUGAUUUGCAAAAAGAAACACUCAAAUCGGAGCUACGAAACUCAAACUAUGAUCAAAAGAAGUUCGGAUUCAAAUCUGCUUGCAACCAAAUUUUAAAUUAUCAAAAUCAUAUUCAAGUUGGUUAACUGGAAAUAGGGGUUCGAGACGAAGAUUUUGGCGUUGGUUUCACUGGAUUUGGACGAACGGUUAAAAAGUUGCGAGGGUUUGAAGAUCAGGGGCUAAUCUGCGAUAAAAAUAAUCGUGGAUAGGUCCCUGGCGAAAUAAAACAGAAAAAGAAAACAUCUAUCGGACGAACGUCCGCUAACAAAGACAAACGAAUGAAUUCAUUCGUUAUAAGAACUAAAUGAGCGAACGUUCACAGAAUAGAUCUAACCGAAGAAAAACAGAGAAAAACCGAUCUAUAAAAACAGGAGUAGAUCUAGGGUUUACCAAAAAGACACCGACGAAAACUCAGAAAAAAAACGGUCGGCGGCAGCGGGGUCGGUUUCCGGCGACGGCGCGGAGGUGGAGCGGCGACGGCUAGGGUUUUGCGGGGUGCGGCUUGGGGCUGGCGGCCUCGGGCCUCGCCUUAUAAAGGCUGGCGGCGGCGGGGCGCCUGGGAGUCCCGGCCCGAGCCGGCUCCUAGGUCGGUUCGCGUUUUUUUAAAUAAAAUAAAUUCCGCCGAAGAAAAUCCUAAAUAAUUAUGAAACAAAAUUCUAAAAAUGCCAAAAACAAUUUUCACCAUCUAAAUAAAAUAUUUAGAAUAAAGUGAACAUUUUUCUGCCCAAAAAUGCAAUUUUAAAAAAAUGCAUAUUUUUUUUCUAAUUCAAAGAAAACCUCGAAUAAAAUCCAAUAAAAUAUUUAUUUGAUUUUAACAUUUUCCUCCAAAAUUUCUUUUAUUUUGAAGAAGUCCUUUUAUCCACUCUCUUUUAUUUUUAAUAUUGGAAAUAUUUCAGAGAGAAAAAUAUUAAAACCAAAAUGAUCCUCUUUUCAAAUUUGAGAAAAAUUCAAAUAUAAAAAUAAUGAAAUCCCCAACUCUCUCCUUAGGUCCUUGAGUUGCUUAAGAUUUCUAGGAUCAAACCAAAAUGCAAAUAAAGUAUGAUAUGCAUAUGAUGACCUAUGUAUAACAUCCAAAUUGAAAAUUGAGAUGUUACAUAUGUACCGAGGUGCUCGAUCAGACAAGACCUGCUAGUACAUACAUUAAUUAGACUAGCAAAAGGGCCAUAUGUUGCAACGGGAGAAACAAAUCCUCGCAUGUCCCUUGCAACAUAUUCAUGUUGAUACGUCUCCUCUUCGUCCGAUCGCGCGCAUCUCAUGAGGGGUAUUCACCUGGUUGCCGUGCCACCAGGUACGGGGACACAUGCACUGGGUUGUAAUGGUCGAACGUGUGCUUCCGAACUCCACCUCCUUGUCAACCUUCGCCGCAUAGCUAGCUGUCAUGGGUGUGCUUGAAGUAGAACUCACCCUGUCGUCACCUCAUAGGAUUUCCCUGAGCCCAACGGGGAGGGAAGGGGCCACCGUCCUUAGCCCCGCUCCCGACUAUGUCUCUGUCUUGGCCGCCAAAGCUUCUAGAGCGACCAAGACUCCUCUAGCAAAAAAUCAAACUGGUGCAUAAAUAAACAAAAAAAACAUGAUUAUUAAUGCAUACGUACAAAUAAUGCAUAGAUUUUACCAAUAGAUAGAUGGCAUAUCUUUGAGAUGGAUUAGGCUACAAAGUGUCUUUCAUAGGUCAGCAACAGUAUUUUUAAAUCUCUUGUGAUUAGGCUACAAAGUGUCUUUCAUAGGUUCAAGCAGGUUGUAGAAAGAAACAUAUAUCCGAGAGCUUUGAUGUCUAUUGUUCAAAACAGCGAGGUAGUUAUAGACACAACAGAAUAUGUUGCAUUGGCACAUGUUGUUUCCUGAAAACAAAUAAUUACAGGAAGCCUAAAUAAUUUGGUAUGUUAGCCUAAAUAACAUAUAUUCAAUUGUUGUUCUAAUAAUUCAAUUUGACACUAACAAAAAGUUGAAGAAUUAUUUUUAAGCCCAUGCACUGCAACGGGAUACAUAUUGUUGUGAUGCCCAAUACACUUUGGGAUGCUACAGAAUAACAACCUACUUCACGUCAUGAACAUGUGCGCCAAACAUGACGUGUUAUUGAGUGCUACUAAAAUUUCAGCAAGCAUGGAGAGCAAGAAUUAUAGGCAUAUACCCUACUAAAAUCUUGAAAUGAAUACGAAAUACCAGCAAGCAUCUCUACAAAUAAAACUGAAUAACAUUUAUAUGCGCCCUUCAUACAGUAAAUUCUGAACAUUUUUUCAAUUACAGAUAUACUUAGGUGCCAUAAGAAUAUAAAAAGUGUGAAUUGUGUAGGGUAAUUAGUUUUAGUAUUCACCCGGAAAAAAAGUCUUAGGAUUACUUGCCAACAGAAGAACGAAAAAAUUCAUGCUAGAUGGAUCUUCACUCCACGGACCACACAUCCAUCGUGCAUACCACAAUGAACUCCAAUACCCGCCCGUCGUCGCAGCCAUUCAUAGCAAGGCACUGCCUAUAGUAGGAUUCAAACAUUACUCCUGCUAUUCUCCAUACAAGAUCCUACCACCGCUAUAGCAGUUACCUCAAGUCUCCACAUUUCCUCGUCCCUGGCACUUAUUCCCAUUAGAUUGUCACCACAACUGUAACAGAUAAGAGGCAGUAGAAGUACAAUGUAGUUAAAGGGACUACGAAACACAAGUCACAUACACAUAUGGUUGCCAAAAUAGACACUAUAGCUUGCUUUGCCAUGUGUAAUCUGCCAUGAUUGGGCAUCGAUCAAAACAGUAGACAAGGGAAAGGGAACAAUUAAGCGAAGUCUAUCUUCCAAACAGACGUCCAGCAAUGACUAAUUCAAGUCCUAAAUAACCUGAUCAAUAUAUGCAACUGCUCAAUUUCUCUUCCGUGGUAAAAUCACGGAAUCUCGCAUGUAUUGGUAAAAAUUACAAAAGGGAGAGAAGCACGCCGAUGACUUUCACCAAGUAGGAUUCUCAUGUCAUGGGCGACCUGUACGAGAAAAACGCCUUCCAUGACAUUCUUUUUACCUGCAACUUUCCUUCAUUUUUUCUUGUGGGGAACUUUCCUUCAUUGAUCAAUCACCAAAUUACAACACUACAGACUCUUUUAAGUUGACACAUGAAAUUGAAGCUAAUUUAUGCACGCAUAUAGCGGUUCAUAUUUGUAAGUAGCAAAUCAAUAUUGUUAUGUAAAAUAUCAAUGACAAAAAGAAAAAUAGCAACCUAUAAAGACUAAACAAUCAGUCUGCAAGCUGAGAUGGUGACAAGCAUGAGACAGUCGCACCUGGCAGGGAACUUAGAUGUGGGGUUGGCAAACUCAGGGUCAGGCACCAUGGCAGGAGGACCUGAGCUGUUCAUAUCAAUCCGAGAGACUUGGGGUGUCCAUGUUCUUUCUCUCUUUCACUUGAAUUGUUCAUGCUUUCUUCCUCCUCAUCUCUCUUCUGUGUCCCAAUCUAAAUCUGCCGAUCAUCCAAACCCAUGGCAGAGAAGGGGAUAUGAGAGAUUGGCAGAUUAUUUGGGAUCCCCAAACAAAUUGCUAACCAUACGUUUUUGUUUGUCAUUCAGGUUGUAGCAUGCUCAUCAUCCACCCCAUUAAUCUUCUUCGUCAUUCCAGCCCCAACCAUGCCAUCAAGUCGUGAGCCACUUGUACCCUUGUAGGGCAUGGUGCCCUGUUAGGAGUUGCAGCCCUGCCCCAAUCACCGGCCUCCAACACAAAAUCGGUCCAUCAGAAAUGCUACAAAAAUAACCACAUAAUUUUUCCGACACUGAAAUUGAGAAACUACUAACACCACAUUCAUGUUGCUAUUUGGAUGCACAAAUACUCUGCAUCAACUACUGCAUGGUAUACGGAAACAGAAAUUACCUCUUGGUCCAACCAGAAAUUUCAGGAUUCAUUUUCCCGGUUAAAUCCACCGACUAUGCUGGUGUAGCUCCCUUCCUUGCCGGGUCUAUUCCUCUGCUGCCACAGGAGCAUAAACAACAGUGAGCGGUUUAGCCAGAGUGAAACUGACGUUUUACUUGCACUAAACUUACUCUGGAAGUGAAAAAAGAACUCGACUAUGCAAAUCAGCAGAAAUCAUCAUCAACAAAGCCCUAAUGUAGUGCCAUGGUAAACAACACCAAAUAAAGCAUCAUCAGAUCAUAGAUGCAGAAAAAAGAUGCAAGCAACACUGCUGCUCCCGAAACUGUAAAUAUCAAGUCCUACAAAAUACAUCUCCAGCCACUUGUUUGGCUUUCCUCAAUGAAGCUGCUGAUCAAUCACUAGCCAACUUCCAGCAGCCAUCACUCUUUCAUCGGUUUGCUCAGGAUCUCCUUCAGCCCCAAACAAAUUUUGCAAAACAUCUCCUUUGGCCCGUCACAUGUCUAAAGUUUUACUCGCACAUCAAACAGACCGGCCUUUGCCCAAACAACAGGAAAAGGUGUGGGCGCCAUCAUCGUCGAACAUGCGGACAACAAAACAAAUCAUAUCAAUCUCCAUGCCCUGCAAAAUCAACUGAAUAUUUCUUCUCUCGAUCUCCUCACUCGUUCUAUCCUCGCUCUGCUCAGCCACGGGAGGUGGCAGAGGCAGAACAGGGAGCUGUCCAUGAGGAGGGCCUGCACGAAGCCGGUAAGCAUCGUCUCCGUACCAGCGCGAGGCGAGGGCGUGAGUUGCCGCGGCAGGGUCGCGGACAAUCAGGGCAUCCACCGGCGCUCCAUGGCGGCUACCGACGGGCGGCGUGCUCCAGGGAGCCGGCGGAUGGUGCUCCGUCAAGGCUAUUGAGCAGCAGCGGGGGACUACGAUGAUGACUGCAAAGGGAUGGAACAUGGUGACGAGUGUUUGCCAAGAGCGGAGGGAUGAGGCGCGGGCGCGUGGCGGCGGAAGGAAGCCUGGCGGCUAGCGCCUGGAGUCUCGCGUCGCGCGGGGAAGAGAGAGGGCAUGCUAAUUUUUUUUCACUAAACGGAUGAAAUCUUUCACAACACACGGGGAUUUCUACAUAUAUUAUUUUUGUAUAUGAUGUGCGGACCCCAAAUUAGUACCAUCUCGUUUAUAUUACGAUUUUGUCUAUACAAAUCGUAAAAGCGUAUUAUUACAUAAGAAGAAAGUGUAUUGUGACGGUGAACCCACGAAGCGUAUUGUGACGAUGAACCCAUCAAAAAUCUUUUGCAAUAUAUAAUAAUAGCACAAAAGGGCCCGUGCGUUGCAACAGGAGAAAAAAAUCAUAAACUUCAAUGGGCAUGACAACAUUUUGCUGCAUCACCGAUAACAUUUUGGCGACCAUUUUGUUCAAUUUCAUUAAUAAUUCAUAAUAAACAAAAAUUUAAAAAUAAUGAAUAUUUUUUGAUUUCCCAAACAUUUGUUUUAAAAAUUGCAAACAUGUUUUGAAUAUGCGACACAAUCAUUUUAUGCUUUAUUCAAAAAUUUACUUAAAAGUUCUUUUUAAAAUUUUUGGUGGUUUUUUUAAGUACCAAAUUAUUUAAAGGAGAAAAAACGAUAAUGGAAAAGAAAAAAUAAAAAUAAGAAAACGAAAUUUAAAAACGGAUCGCCCGCACAUGGGCCGGCCCUAAUUGGAGCGCUGUGUCUUCUCGUUGCGUGCAGAGCGCAGUAUAGGAGAUCACUACUGCGUGGGAUGGCCCAGGCAGGGGAUUCCCCAGUGUGAAAUGUUUUUUGUCAACUUAUAAAUGGCAUUGGUGGAUAGUAUUUUAUAAGUUUGGAAGCAAUUGAUGACUUUAAUAAUAAUUAUUAUUAUUAUUAUAGCGCAUAUGCCGUGCAUUGCAAGAAGAUAAAAAAAAUAGCAUGUCCAUCAAAACAUCAUGAUAGCAUUCAGACGCUGCCAGCUAGUAGCUACAAGAAGGUCCGUGUCCAUAUCUAGAAGAAAUGUAUAAUCAUGAAACGACCUUGCAAUGACAUGCGUCCGACCUGUAGCAUCGCCAGUCAUCCUUGCAACUUCCACGUGGUCGCCUUUGCAGUGGUUUUCAUCCAACUGGUAGGACAAACGACCGUCCUUCCAGCGUCCAUGUAAUAAUUUUGUAGCACUUUGGUCCGAAUUGCCAAUAGAAAAAAGGACAGCGGAGACUGAUGUUACAUUGACGUGUUUCUAGCUAGACGCAGUGGGCACUCGACCUUACAGCGACGCAUGCCGCUUGCAGUGUAGUGUUUGCCGUUUGAAGCAGCGGAAUUUAAGCGAAGUUGCACGUAGAUCAAGCAGGUAUAUUUUCAAAAAAAAAAUUAUAGCAGGAAAAAUGCCGAGAAAUGAAAAGAUUUACGUUUGCAGCUCCAAACCAAAUGCUUGCAGUACUUAAAGAAGGACGUGCGUGAAAAAAAGAGCUACCGAGCAUGCCACGCAUAUCAUCAUACGCCAGAAGUUGCAAUCAUUAUCAGGGUUAGUUUUUUUAGACAAAUAACCUGGGGUUUUUUUUGGGGAAAGACAAAGAACCUGGGUGAGCUGGUUCGGGGCGUGGAGACUACAUUCCCACGCUGCUGAUUUUUGGAUCGUAAUCCAAUGAAGUCUGGGAGGAGGCCCAUCAGCAUAUAUCAGCCCAAUAUAUGGCUAGCGUGCGAAGUUGGAGGUACGACGUAGCACAAAGCAGCGCAAACCGACUGCAUCAACGCAGCCAUAUUUUCCUUGACACCAACAUCACAGCCUCAAGGAAGACCAGUAUUGGGGCAUGCAAAGCCGGGGGAGAGAUGGUACGACAGAGGGGAGUAGCCACAUGAAAGUGGGGUAUGGAAGGGCUAAGGACAUGGUCAUCCUAGGCAUGAUCACAUGAUUCUCUCUCCAUAGCCGAUGUGUGGAGCGACCAAGACGUGGCCCCUCCUUCAUCCAGUUCAAGCAAGAUGCAUCGCCAUCGUACUCUUUCAACUCUCCAUCCCUCCCACCCUCCUCUGUAUCUCACAUCAACGGCACUGGUAACAUAUAGAGUGGAAGAAUAUAUUGACGGUCAGCUAGUCCACAAGAGAGCCCCAAAUAUCGUUUCUUUUAAAAAGUAAUUUUUUUAUUUUUCGGUCGCACGUAUUUUCAUCCACCUCUGCUCCGGAGAGCUCCCUCGCUGGCUACUCGGCGUGAUGGUCACCUCCCUCUCUUGCGUCUCUCUGGCUGAGAUAUGUGUCGCUCUCUACUGCUAUGAGGCAACUCGUGGACAUAUAAAAACUGGUAGAAUUUGUUAUAAAAAUGCGAGGUGGGAUUAUGUAAUUUGGUAGCGACUCUACGUGAAGUUUUGUCGUUCGCGCCCAAAUGGCUUGUGUGGGGCCGACGAGCUAUGGGCCAUAGUUGGCCCAUCUGACUGAGCAGACUCGCCUGGCUCCAACCCACCAUCGACUAUGCUCGGAAACAAUUGUCACCAGCGAAUGAAACGGUUUUUAGUACAACAUCGUGUAUAUGUUUCAAAUUCAAUCUGAAAGCGUACAAUCACGGAAAGAAGCCAAGAAAUUGAGAGUAUGUUUUACUAACGUCAAAUAGAAGCCAUUCAUUGAAGUAAUAAUUGUAAUCGGCUAGCACAAAAAAUCUGCCGGCCACUUAAUUAUCCUGAAUCCUAUUUCCUUAGCCCACACCACAUAUUAAGCAAGUUCCUUGUUGUAAAGGGUACCCCAUCUACAAUAUGCAAUGCAGGUAUGCAUGAAUCCCGUUCUUAAUUUUCCCACGUAGGACACACCUUUAUUAUUUGUGCAGCAUACACAACGUGUCUUAGGAAUCUCUCUCGAUAGCCUCCUAUUAUAUUAUGCAGCAAGAUUGUGUUUACUUGCCCACCAUAAUUCACAAGCAUGCAUCAGGAAUCCUUGCAGCAAUUGCCCACCAUAUUUCUCAAUCAUGCAUAUUAGGAAUCCCUUUUUUAUUAUUCCACAUAGCACUAUAUUGUUCCUUCCUUAUUUCUCGAGAAUCUUUCCUUGCUUCCCUCCUUCCCUCAAUACUUCCAUUUUUGGGCACCCUCAUCAUCCUCUGAUUACCAAUUUCGGAGCCGGCUUAUUAGGAUGAUUGAUGACAGAUCACUUGAACAUGUAUAUAAGUUGAUGGUUGUCCUUGUAAAAGGGCGAGGUGGUACUAUUUUUUAAGUAAAACAAAGCAUAUUAAAGCAACAUAGGCUGACCUAGUUCAGUUGGCUAAUGCUAAAGGAAUCGGCUAGAAGGUUGUGAGUUCAAAAUCACGGGAAGAAGCUUAUUGUGACGGUAAACCCACGGGGACAAUCCGUGCUUUAUUAUUACUAGCAAAAGGGCCCGUGCGUUGCAACGGGGGACAUUGUUACCUAUCUCAUCCCUCGACCUAUUUCCUUCCAUCCUCAUCUCCUUGUCCAUGUCGGUUAUCAACAUCUCCUAAGCCCCACUGUCCUCCUUCCCGCCUUUAGUGAACCAUUAUGUGUACCUCAGGCAGUGAGCUUAUUCGCAUUAAUUAAUGCAGCCUUCCAUUGAAAUGUGAUGUUUCAUCAUGUAUGUUGCAUGCUCAGACGGGAUAACCAAUAAACAGAAAAAGAUGAAUUGUUUUGCGAAAGAAUUUUUGGACUCAUAAAAAGCGGGAUUUGCGUUUGUGACCAUUCUCGAGCAUGCGGAGCUGAAAACAAAAGGAGAGCACAUAGUUGUCGUGGUCAUUGCAUGCAUAAGAUGGUGUGGAGAAAGAGAUUGAGAGUACGUUUUAGUAACAUCAAAUAGAAGGCAUGCAUUAAGGUAAUACCUGUAAUCAGCUAGCAAACAACAUCAAUAGCCUAGCAGCAAGUCACUUGUUUCUUUUUUUUGGAUAUUAAUUAUGCAGCAAGCAUGUAGUGUGUCUCGUAGGUUUCCUUUUUAAUUGGCCGCCAGUUAGCCUGAAUCCCGUUCACUUAGCAAUGCAAGUAUGAUGGAUGCAGAAAAAAAAUCAUAAAAAAAGUAUGAUGGAUGCAUUAGGAAAUUAACAUGGUGAUUAACCAAAUUGACUAUUUUCAUAAGAUAAUUUCCCGGUUUACUGAUGGAUGCACGUUUUAGCAAGUUCCUUGUUGCAAAAGGCGCCCAUGUACAAGGUGCAAUGCAAGUACGCAUGCAUUGGAUCCCUUUCUUAAAUAACCCAUAUAGGACUCACCUUUUUAUUAUAUGCAACGAUGUAUGAGGAAUCUCUCUUAAUUUCUCCAGUUUAAUUGCCCACCAUAUUUUUUAGGAAUCCUUUUAUCAUGCAUGCAAUAAUAUUUCUCAAUUCCUUAAUUAAUUAUCCCACAAUAGUAUUGAUUCCUUUUUGCCCCAUUCGAUUGCCCACAAUAUUUCUGCCUUACACAAUCCUUCCUUUCCUCUUUUUUUCAAGAAUCCACCAACUCCUCAUCCUCCGAUUACCAAUUUCCAAGGCGUAUAUUAAGGUGAUUAAUGAUAGGUAAUUUGAACAGGUAUAUAAAUUAAUGGUUGCUUUUAGAAAGGCGAGAUGGUACUUUUGAUAAAAAAACAAACCGCUACGAAUUAACAUAGGUUGGCAUAGUUCAGCUGGCUGGUGUCUAUUUUACGAGAUGGUAGGUUGUGAGUUUGAUUCCUCAUGCACACGUGUAUUUUUUUUUCUUCUUCUCGCGUUGCACUAAAGCUGGGCCGACGACCCAGCCUGCUGGCCCAAGUCGUUAGGAUGCAGCGAACAGGCCCAAGUCGGUAGGACGCAGCGAACAGGCCCAGCCUGCAGGCCCAAGUCGUUAGGACGCAGCGAACAGGCUGAAGUCGGUAGGACGCAGCGAACGGUGAACGAAAACACGUCUUAGGUGUACAGAUGAAAAUAUUAGUACCACCUCGAAUAUGUUUCAAAUUCAAACUGAAAGCGUAAAAUCACGGAAAGAAGCGUAUUGUGACGGUGAACCCACGGAGUCAAUCCGUGCUUUAUUAUUAAAAAAAAAUUAGGGAUAGACUAGCAAAAGGGCCCGUGCGUUGCAACGGGGUUCAAAUCAAGCUACUGAGAUCAUAUAAUGUAUAGCCCACCUUGUUUAUUCAAAAUCAAAUAAAACUGACCACUGGUUGCACUUAACAAUUAUUCAUGCUAAUAUAAUACAUUUAGUUGAUGGCUUACAUGAGACAAGCUUUAGAGACAAUAGUUUCUUCCAAAAAUCUUACUUUACAUUUAGCAUUUGAAACUUUCAUUAUUCGUCGCAUAAAUACAAAUUGUGACUCUGUUUUUGUUUGGGAUUUUCAUUUUAGACCAACAAUACAUUAACUAUUAAAUUAGAAAUUGUUCUUCUGAAAUUAGUAUGACAUGUGACUACUCCAGCAGAAUACAUAAACCAAUUUAAUUUAAAUAACACAACAAACAAUUACAAAACACAGGUGGGCUGCUUAGCCAUGUAAUCUACGAUCUGCCUUGAGCUGUACCGCAACAUGCCCGUGCGUUGCAACGGGAGAAAUAAAAUCCUUGGCGUAAUAAUAAUUGUUUAAGACACUCCACGGGUACAUGCCCAUCAUUUCAAUAAUAGCAUAAGCAGUGAAAGCUUAAUUUACAAUUCAAAUUUAAUAGUGCCAAAAAUAGUUACUAAGACACGCAUUAUUUCAUACAUAGAUUUAUAGCUAUAGAGUAUCUACUGCUAGUGUCGAUUUUUUAGCAUGUUAGUUGUAGUCUUUGUGCACAAAAUAAGAGAAUUUUUUACUAUACAAAAUCUCAUUGAUGACAUUUCCAACAAAUUAUCUGCAUUUUCAAACCUUAUUAUGCUGGUACAAUUUUAAACCGAGGAAAUCUGAGGCUAAUAAUUAUUUUAGGGUACCUCAAAUUCAUUUUUUUUCUUAGAGAUAUUGAAUUUUUUUUGUCAUUGUGAGUUUAUUUAAUUUUCCGACACAAAGUCUAUUUUUUACAUGAUCUUGGUUGGUCAUUGUACACGAAAUAGGAUUAUCUUUGUGGCAAAACAAAGACUCAUGUGCGUAGUUAGUUUUUUCAUUAAGAGCAAGAACGUCCUGUGCGUACAUGUACAUCUACAUUUUUUGUUCCCGCAAAAAAAAUGUACAUCUCCAUUUUUUUUGUGGGUCGCGCUCAUGCAGCUAUAGCUGCCGUCUUCAUCAUGUACCAUGAAGAUUGUCUUUGUCAGGGAAGACCCAAUCCAAUCCACCUCCAUGUCUCCGCAGCGCAGCGACCGCAUGCCACAGCUCCUCCCGCAUCCCGCGCCGCCGACCAGCAGCGCCUGCCGCGCCCUUGCGUCAGGUUGCAAGAUGAACGGGUCAUCCCGCCGCUCCUCCGUCAAACAAAAACCCGCAAAGUUGCCUCUGGGCUGACUGCAUCAUCACAAACGGGUUCAAGCGGACACCCCGCAUUGUCCGCUGGGUGUCGCAACAUCCCGCGUAUGCUGCAUCCAAUGAAAAUACAGAGUAACUCGUACUACCAGCCUACUCUCUCUGAUCGGGAGAAUCCACAAGCAGCUACCAAGCAAACUCUUCGUCACCGAUUCAAUGAUUCAAUUUGAUUGCAUGGAGUUAGACCCGUAUACAACACUGGUCAUCGAUGUCUUGUCAGGCGUCAGUACAUCCUCUGUCCAUCCUCAACAGGAUCACAUACCACUACCAGAUUCAGAUGGCCACCAUGUACGCCUUCGCCGACGCCGGCUCCACCGCCAUCGAGAAGGGCCGCACGGCUAUGCUCGCACAGUACUGCGCCUUUGCCGGCCAGCUCCGCAAGUGUCCCAGCAACGUGUCGGUGUGGGGUCCUAAAUGACCGCAGCGUGCGUGCGUUCCUCCAGUCCUCAGUACGUGCCCAACCGCAAAGUCUGCGGCUGUCCGCGACAUGGAAAGAGAGAAGCUGGUGGCGGACUGUGCUCCUGGUACCUGAGUUCCUCUGCUCUGUGUUGUGUUCGCCGCUAGCAGCACCAGCGUGCAGCACCCCGCCGACCGACGAACCCCGCCAUCCGCCGCGUCCGGAGCUGGCCUCCACUCUGGAUCUGUCGUCCCCAUCAACACAAGCCACCGCACCCUCCCGAUCUCCAGUCCCGAUGUGCAGCCGCCGCCGACAUAGUCUACCUCGAUCACCGCCCCGGCCCCUUCCUGCCUGCCUCUAUGUGGUGUGUUCGUGGCCGGCAGCACGAGCACCCCGCCGACCGUUGAAUCCCGCCACCCGCCGCGUCUGGAUUGUCCCCUCCUUUCCUCUAUGUUAUCUUUUCUUUCUUUUUGAGUGGGAUUUAUCGGGUCUUUUAAUGCUGACUUUAUUUAAAGAAGCGAUAUAUGGGACUAAUAAAAAUCGAAUCUCAUGCUAUCAUAGUACCGUGCGGCUGGCUACUUCCCCAUAGAUGGAAGCCGAGGUUGGGAGUUUGAUUCACAAUUGGAUUGGAUUAGUUUUCAUUUAUUUUUUCCACCCUGACAGUGGCAGGAGCCGGCCAUUAGGAAUCGUUUUUCCAUCUUUACGAUGUGGCCCAGGUAGCAUGCGGAACUUCAGGUCGAGGCCCAGCCUGUUGUGCGCGUAGCGGCCUUCGGACUAAAUUUUCUUAGACGAUGGAUGAAAAUUCCAUAAAAUUAGUACCACCUUGUUUAUAUUACGAUUUUAUCUAUACAAAUCGUAAAAGCGUAUUAUGAUAUGAGAAGAAAGCUUAUUGUGACGGUGAACCCACGGAGUCAAUCCGUACUUUAUUAUUAGGGAAAGAUUAUUAUUAUUAUUAUUAUUACAUUUUUAAUAUACAAUGUACUUUUUAAAAUACAUAAUUACUUUAUGAACCCAAUAGCUAAGACCGUUGCCCCUCCUCCCACGACCGACUGCCAGACAUGAUGACAUCAGUAAACUCUUUAAAAUCUUCCACACUGCCGCAUGAGAAACAACAUGAAAAGAUAUGUUGUGCAAAAACAUAAUCGUGAAAGGAAUUUGUAAGUGUACUGUAGGUGUGUGCAAUUUAAAUCAUAGAAAUAUCCACCUGGUCGCGAGUAUCUCUUCACAUAUUUGUUGACGUUGCUUAGUGAUGCCCCAAAAAUAUCACACUAUAAUGAAAAUGGUGAAGUCAUAGUACAACAUUCUUGCUUUACUACAGAGGCAACAAAGAUUUCCAUGAACCAGUGUUGGGUAGGUUUAGGGGUAGCAUAGCACUAUUUGUGUCCAACGAUAUUAGAAGCAUUUUUGCGGGGUAAUGGUAUCAUAUGCAUUCUUUGCGGGGCAUUGAUAUUAGGAGUGUUGUACAAAAAUCCUCCAUCGGUGGCUAAUAUAAUAAAGUAAAGUGCGGAGUUUGUGUCGCACUUAGCAGAGUCCAACUGCUUGUGCUUUGGUGACCAACAUUUUUUUUAUUAGGAGCAUUGUAAGAGUUUGUGACGGGCGCUAGUGGGUUUAGAAGAAAAAUAAUAGCAAAGAUUUAUUUUGUUUUUAAUGGUUGCUACUAUUGACAUUCCAUGCACGGAGACGUUUAUUAGUGACAUUAUAUCCCAUUUGGAGACGCUCUCUUUCCUUUUUUUAGUUUUUUGUAUUUUUCUUCCUUAGGACAGCUUCCACUUUUCAUUCUUUUCUCCGUCUAGACAUGAAAUCCCAGCCCUCUUUCCCUCCUUAUUCUGCCAUAUAAGCCAUGAAAUCGCCCUCCUCUUUCCUUCUUUAUUUUUCUUUCUUUUCUUCAUUAUUCUGUCAAGAGAUAUAUGAAAUCCCUCCUCUUUCCUUCUUUUUUUCUCUCUUUCCUUCUUUAUUAUGGAAGGACUUAUUUCCUUCUUUAUUGGUUCCCGAGUGGCUCCUUAAUACAGAGGAAACUCGAAGAUGUAUAUAAAUUGCAAAGAUUGGGUUUAAGGUUUUUUUUUUUUUGAGACAAGAUUGGGUUUAAGGUAGCAGUAUAGGACUAUUUAAAAGGGUUUAGAGUCUGAUUCAGCCCACCAUCGAGUACUUUUCUGCACCAGGCUUUGGGCCAGCUUUGCCCGUUCGGUUGUGUGGCUUCCCUCGGCAGGGUGGGCUGGAAUAAUGAGGCGGCCGAAAAUCCUCCUGGCGUGAUAGACUAAGUGGAUAAUCCUUGUUUUUCUGAACAUACAAUGGGCUAGCUGAGUUGGUCGCUCGCUCUAUGCACUUUUCUGGUGACCCGCGUUCGAAUCCUCAAAAUACCAACUUUUUAUGUGUGGCCAUUUUUUAAAGAAGCGACCGUAAAAAAAAGAGGACGCGAUGCACCUUGGAUUUUGGAAAAAAUAUGGACAUGUUGAAAAAAACUGAAAGCGUAAAUUCAUGGGAAGAAGCGUAUUGUGACGGUGAACCCACGUCAAUCCGUGCUUUAUUAUUAGGGAAAAACUAGCACAUAUGGCCGUGCGUUGCAACAGGUGAAACAUAAUGUUUAGAAAACAGAAAAGUAAUUUAUUACCACUCAAAUGUUACAACAGGUGUUCAGUUGGCGAUGGAAUUGGGUAUUGAAAAACUUUGUCUCAAGACAAACAAUCAAGGUGGGGCACCUGCUUUCGAAUCAAGAGAUCAAGACCGUUCGAGGUUUAGCCCUCUUAUAGAAGAGAUCAAGGAGUUGCUUGCUAGUGUGAAUGAGCACCGGGUGAUCUGGUCGAGGCGACCGGCGAACAAAGCGACUGGUAUUUUUGUGAGCGAAGACUGUGUUAAUAAGUUAUGAAAAACUUGGUUUAAUGUAUCCCCAUUUUUUAUCCAUGACGUAUUUUGAACGAAAUGGUCGUGAACUAAAGAAUAAAUAAAGUAGCAAUUACCCUAAAAAUAGUAAAACAAAAUUAAAGUACGAACAAGAAUUCAUGCAUCAAAUGUUACGAAUUAAGAAGGUUUGAAUUACUUGAAUUGAGGGUCUUCGUCAAAAGAAAGGAUUCAAGCCAAUACUUAACAACACUUUAUAUGAGCAUCGGGAUCAAAAGGCUAAUUUGGGUUAAUAUUUGGUGCAUACCUCAUCUUGAGUACAUCCACACUAUAUCAUCGGUUCACUUUUGUGGUAACACAAAAAUAUAUUAAUAGUCUUAUUAAAUUACAUUGGAACUUUGUUACAAUCACUCAGUAAAUCCGUUUAUUUGCAUCUGUUGUAACAAACAAAUCAACAAAUUUACCGUCAGAAAAACAUCAUAAGCAAGCAGUAUGCAACACGAUCUUCCUCUCUCUUUUUCAUCUGCAAAGUACUCAAUAUAGUGCGUCUCUGGUUCAGCUUCAAUAGUAGUAGCACUAACACCGAAGAUCGUCAUAAAAUUAAAAAAAUCACCACAACUCUAUCUUCUCACUCUGAUCUCUCUCUCUCUCUCAACCCCAUUGAUCCAUCUUAUAAGCAGCAUCAAACAACCUGCUACAUCUCAUCUCAUCGAACAACUGCAUAGUACAAAAGAAUAUCAUCUCAUCUCUCUCUGUGUCUCCAUCUGACUACACCAGAGCUGCACGAACAACUAUUUGUCAAAAAAAAUGUAUCUCUCUCAUCUCUCUCCCCGUCCGAGCUCGUCUCCAGCACCGCGCCAUGCCGCGCCGCUCCUGCCAUGCUCCAACGCCGUGCUGCAAUAGGAAAGCAAUUAUAUUUUACAGUAAAAAUCUUUGAUUUCUUUCCACCACACACGUGCCUAUCCUAUCCUCUGAUUCAUAUGCUCCUGUAACCACCGAUUCUCUCUCUCUCUCUCUCUCUCUCUCUCUCUCUCUCUCUCUCUUCUCAUUAGUUUUGCUUAAGCAUCCAAGAAAAUUAGAGCACAAGAGCAGCAGUAGCAGCUCCGUGUGAUGGCUGAUGCGGUGGUGCUGAACUCCACGGGCCACGGUGCAGCUGGAGCUAGGACCGACGGGUCAAGCUCAGCGAGUCAUGGUGCAAAUUGCAGCCCACGGGAGAACCAGCGCACACACGGCUGGGCGCGGGCAGGCACAAGCAGAGCAUGCAUGGCCACCGGCGCACAACACACAUGGCCACCGGCUUCCCCGCAACGAACAACCUUGUCCAAGAGGUCCACAACCUUGGGAUCUCCUUUCCCGCGCAAGGACUCGGCCGAAUUCACCUUGAAGCCCUCGCCAUCAUCCUCCAACUCCAAGUCCAAGUAUCGUCGUUCAUCGUCGAUUACCUUGCCGUUGCUGCUUCCCCGGCCUCACCGACCUCGCCGUCGGGUUCAUCGUGAGUCCCCGUAGCUUUAACCUUUGUUUCCCCCUCUGAUUAGGAUCUGUAGCUGACGCCAUGGUUACUGCCACCUCGCCAUGGUUGGUCCUCUCCGUCCGGACCGAGCUUUGACGCCGCAUGUCUGGUCCCUAAAAACAGGAGCGCGAAGUUGCUCGGUCCGGUCCGGUCUAGACUGCCGGCGGCCGGUCCGGAGGACGCGUCUUCAUGCCGCAAAAUAUUGGCGAGAAAAGGCAAAAGGGGCACCGGUAGAUGUGGUUCGCAGUUGACGAUGGACAUGGCAAAUGCGACAUGCUCAUGGCCGGAGGGAGAUGCGUGCCCGUGUGCCAGAAUGACGCGUCCCGUUGCUGUCGAAGAAGAUGUGGUGGCGCACAUGCGGGCCUGACGGUGGCGCGCAGGAGCAAGCGGCAACGGGCGCUCGAGUAGCCGGGGCGGCAGUGCAGUCGAGAGAGGUGCCGAGACGGUCGGGAAGAAGGAUGCCAUCACACACGGCGUGCUCGGCUCAGACCUCUGCUAGGAAGGAGGGGCACCGACGUUUGAUAAAAUUUACACCGGGAUCGAUCUCAGCGUAUGCAUUCUCGUCCGCUUCUCCUCUACUCCCCUCUUCCGGGACCGGGAUAAAAUUUAUUGGAGGGUAGCAAAGGCGGCGAGGAAGGUGAAGUUUGACUCCAACUCAUGUUCCACGGUAUCGUCACAUACCAAAGAGGCUGGGUGAUGCCACGGGCGAUGGCCAGCCGUGUGCGUGCGGCGCCCAGGGUCCAGACGGACGAAAUUUAGUACCACCUCACGUAUAUGUUUUAAAUUCGAAUUGAAAGCGUAAAUUCACGGGAAGAAGCGUAUUGUGAUGGUGAACCCACGGAGUCAAUCCAUGCUUUAUUAUUAAAACUAGCAAUAUGGCCCGUGCGUUGCAAUGGAAGAAAGAAAACAUUAUAUGCGUUAGGAAAAUAUCUAACGGGCUACAUUGCAACAUAUAAAAGACUAUUAAUGUGCUUAAAAAGAUAUAACUUUUUUUUAUUUAUGCCACUCAAAUAGCAUGAUUCUACAUUAAAUGAUGAAAAUACCCACUUGUGACUAAUCGUUACAUAGCAUGCAAGGACAUAUGCCAUAUGAUCGAAGCCAAAUGAAAAAUAACUACAUGGGUCUAGUCCAAGAGAUAUCGAUAGACAACUCCACAUUGCAUUUUGCAGAAUUAUGCCCCUGCCAAUGACACCUACAGCACCAAUUCUUCACGCGAAUUUCUAUAUAUAUGUACAUGUAAACAAAUUCUGUGGUUCAAGAGCAAAAUGUGGACAAAUACAUUUCUAUCCACAAUGGAAAGUAAUAAAAUUUAAUCAUUACAAUUUGGGUAUGCAAACAAACCAAGGUGAUUUAGAAAUUUCAUCCCAUGAACAACUAUUACAAACAAAAAACAGUAAUUAAGACCAAACAGGAAAUAAGCAAAUAAAUGACAUGAAACAGCAAAUCUGUAUGUAGGCCUCUUGCGCGUGGCCCACCUCGUCCGUGGAGGAGCAGCUGUUGGUGGACGCCGCCUGCGUCGGAUUGCCGUCGAGCUCAACCCGCCAGCGUGGAAGUGCACCUUGAACUUGGCCGCCCUGCUAAUCUUCCUCUCAUAAAACUGGACAUUUGGAAAUAACCUGAAGAAGGAUUCAUGUGAUAUUGUAUGUUCAGCAAAUGUAUAUGCAAAUGUAUAUUAAAUUUAAGCAUAACCAAUCUCUCAAAUAAACUUGUGGCAAAUCCAACUUCUUUGCAUAUCUAGAGAUAAACAAUGAAAAGUAAGAAUUAAGAUUAUCAAAAACUGAUAAAUAACAAUGGAACAUAAAGGAAAUAUAUGGCCAUUACAAUUUUUCUCAAGAAAAAAAAGCAUUUUACUAUUAGAAGUUUAUCUUUUAGUAAAUAUAAAGCGUCGGUCACGUCGUGCCUACGUGUUCGAGCAGUUCUCCUAUGCUGACACAGCAGGGAUCCAAUCUGAAUCCUGGUAAUCUCAAUCUCUUCAGGAAAAAGUUUAGCACCGCAUCAAAACAACCAUUUCACGAUUUAAAAUUUUCAAGAACAUUAGGUGAAAAGCCACCCCGAAUUCUGCAGGUAAAAGUAUGUUAAUCCGCAAAUCAAACACGAAAAGCCUUUGUUCUCCCUUAAUUUUGUAAUGGCUUCCUUAAGGGAUCCUGGAAUAGGAUAAUCAAGUAGUGUGAUCAUCAGAGUUUAACAUCUAAAAAGGAUAAAUGCAUAAUAAAGAAAGUAAGUCUGAGCGAAAGCCAUUCAAACCAGCAGCAUUUAGGUUAAACCUUGUUAGUUUGAUGUAAUCUCACGCAUCAUUGACCUCAGCGGGUUUCAAGUAUAUCUUUCUCUCAUGGCAUAUAUUCUAUAUUAAAUUAAGACGAAUGAGCAGCAACCACUCUUCAGUAUCAAGUACAAGAAUGGAAUCAUUUCUUCUGAAGGAAGUACGAAAGAAUGGUGUGCAGGAGCUUACUUUAGAAUAACAUCUCUGGUAUCAUCUCCACUGAGAAUAGUCAUCUGUUGAGCUUCCUCGAGGACCCUUCGCAAGACUCGUUGUACUUUCUAAAAUAUUAAAAGGCAUGUAAUGACUUGUGGCAGUGUUAAUAUGAACACAAAAUACAAAAUACCAAGCAUUUUACUCAAAGCAACCAAAAGAAUACAUUUUGAGAAAUCUACUCAGUUCCCAUGUUAAUACGAGCCAACAAAAAAGCCUAUGUUAUAUGCAUGCGUAACUGGAAUCACGUGACUCAUGUUUCACUAAUCAGGCAAACGUAAAGGUCAAUAAAGAGGGAGAAAGAUACCUUGCUGGAGCAAAAGCAGUGAUAACCUGAACAAGACUCCAUUAGCUUCUCCGCAUGCUGUUUGUACAGUGAAAAGCGCUCCGAGUGGCCGUGAAGGCUGGAAUUUGAUGCAAGGCAUGGACCUAGACAUGGAAUGCAGAUGAGCCUCUACAUCCUCCACCAAUUCAUAGAAAUAACCAAGCAACUCCACCAUUCUUUGCAAAUCAUGCUCCAUGGCGGAAGGAACAUGCCAAUAUCGAGCGACAAUAGAUUGCUAAACAAAAGUUCAGUGAUGGUAAGCACCUUCGUUCCAGUCAAGGCGAUGGUAAGAGGAACAUGGUGAAUGACUAAUAUGAGAGAAAACAUAAACGUUAUGCAGCCAUACCAUGGAUGUAGACCAUCAAGGCAGUUAUAAGGCUAUCACCCAAACAACCAUGCACUUACCUCUGGCUGCGACAAACCAGUGGUGGUGGUUUCUUCAUUGCAUACUCCCCAUCAAGAAAAGAGAGGUUCAGAACCUCCUAAUUGCAAGUUGAAAUAUGUAUCUAAUUGGAAAAUACUGACCCAAAAAUAUCCAUUGUCCUCCUGCGUAUUUAAUGUUGUUCCUCGAAAUCACAUUAUUUUGUUCCUCAACCCGUACGUCUUCAAAUAUACAUCAUUUUUGUUCCUUGAAAUUCAGAAUAAUAUGACCACGCAGACUGAACAUUGAUGUGUUGGGGAACGUAGUAAUUUCAAAAAAAAUUCUACGCACACGCAAGAUCAUGGUGAUGCAUAGCAACGAGUGGGGAGAGUGUGAUCUACGUACCCUUGUAGACCGACAGCGGAAGCGUUAGCACAACGCGGUUGAUGUAGUCGUACGUCUUCACGGCCCGACCGAUCAAGCACCGAAACUACGGCACCUCCGAGUUUUAGCACACGUUCAGCUCGAUGACGAUCCCCGGACUCCGACCCAGCAAAGUGUCGGGGAAGAGUUCCGUCAGCACGACGGCGUGGUGACGAUCUUGAUGUUCUACCGUUGCAGGGCUUCGCCUAAGCACCGCUACAAUAUUAUCGAGGAUUAUGGUGGAAGGGGGCACCGCACACGGCUAAGAAUAUGAUCACGUGGAUCAACUUGUGUGUCUAGGGGUGCCCCCUGCCUCCGUAUAUAAAGGAUCAAAGGGGGGCUGCGGCCGGCUAGGAGGAGGGCAUGCCAGGAGGAGUCCUACUCCCACCGGGAGUAGGAUUCCCCCCCCUUUCCAAGUUGGAAUAGGAUUCGGGAGGGGGGAAAGAGGAGAGAGAGAAGGAAGGGGGGCGCCGCCCCCUUCUCCUUGUCCUAUUCGGACUAGGGGGGAGGGGCGCGCGGCCCAGCCCUGGCCACCUCUCCUCUCUUCCACUAAAGCCCACUAAGGCCCAUAUACCUCCCGGGGGGUUCCGGUAACCUCCCGGUACUCCGGUAAAAUCCCGAUUUCACCCGGAAAACUUCCGAUAUCCAAAUAUAGGCUUCCAAUAUAUCAACUUUAUGUCUUGACCAUUUCGAGACUCCUCGUCAUGUCCCCGAUCCUAUCCGGGACUCCGAACUCCUUCGGUACAUCAAAACUCAUAAACUCAUAAUAUAACUGUCAUCGAAACCUUAAGCGUGCGGACCCUACGGGUUCGAGAACAAUGUAGACAUGACCGAGACACGUCUCCGGUCAAUAACCAAUAGCGGAACCUGGAUGCUCAUAUUGGCUCCCACAUAUUCUACGAAGAUCUUUAUCGGUCAGACCGCAUAACAACAUACGUUAUUCCCUUUGUCAUCGGUAUGUUACUUGCCCGAGAUUCGAUCGUCGGUAUCUUAAUACCUAGUUCAAUCUCGUUAUCGGCAACUCUCUUUACUCGUUUCAUAAUACAUCAUCUUGCAACUAAUUUAUUAGUUGUAAUGCUUGCAAGGCUUAUGUGAUGUGCAUUACCAAGAGGGCCCAGAGAUACCUCUCCGACAAUCAGAGUGACAAAUCCUAAUCUCGAAAUACGCCAACCCAACAUUCACCUUUGGAGACACCUGUAGAGAUCUUUUAUAAUUACCCAGUUACGUUGUGAUGUUUGGUAGCACACAAAGUGUUUCUCCGGUAAACGGGAGUUGCAUAAUCUCAUAGUCAUAGGAACAUGUAUAAGUCAUGAAGAAAGCAAUAGCAACAUACUAAAUGAUCGAGUGCUAAGCUAACGGAAUGGGUCAAGUCAAUCACAUUAUUCUUCUAAUGAUGUGAUCCCGUUAAUCAAAUAACAACUCUUUUGUUCAUGGUUAGGAAACAUAACCAUCUUCGAUUAACGAGCUAGUCUAGUAGAGGCAUACUAGUGACACUCUGUUUGUCUAUGUAUUCACACAUGUAUUAUGUUUCCGGUUAAUACAAUUCUAGCAUGAAUAAUAAACAUUUAUCAUGAUAUAAGGAAAUAAAUAAUAACUUUAUUAUUGCCUCUAGGGCAUAUUUCCUUCAGUCUCCCACUUGCACUAGAGUCAAUAAUCUAGUUCACAUCGCCAUGUGAUUCAACACUAAGAGUUCACAUCACCAUGUGAUUAACAUCCAUAGUUCACAUCGUCAUGUGACCUAUACCCAAAGGGUUUACUAGAGUCAAUAAUCUAGUUCACAUCAUUUAUGUGAUUAACACCCAAAGAGUACUAAGGUGUGAUCAUGGUUUGCUUGUGAGAUAAUUUUAGUCAACGGGUCUGUCACAUACAGAUCCGUAAGUAUUUUGCGAAUUCUAUGUCUACAAUGCUCUGCACGGAGCUACUCUAGCUAAUUGCUCCCACUUUCAAUAUGUAUCUAGAUCGAGACUUAGAGUCAUCCAGAUUUGUGUCAAAACUUGCAUCGACGUAACUUUUUACGACGAACCUUUUGUCACCUCCAUAAUCGAGAAAUAUUUCCUUGUUCCACUAAGGAUAAUUUUGACCAAUGUCCAGUGAUCUACUCUUAGAUCACUAUUGUACUCCCUUACUUAACACAGUGUAGGGUAUACAAUAGAUCUGGUACACAUCAUGGCAUACUCUAUAGAACCUAUGGCUGAGGCAUAGGGAAUGAAUUUCAUUCUCUUUCUAUCUUCUGCCAUGGUCGGGCUUUGAGUCUUACUCAAUUUCAUACCUUGUAACACAGCCAAGAACUCUUUCUUUGACUGUUCCAUUUUUGAACUACUUCAAAAUAUUGUCAAGGUAUGUACUCAUUGAAAAAACUUAUCAAGCGUCUUGAUCUAUCUCUAUAGAUUUUGAUGCUUAAUAUGUAAGCAGCUUCACCGAGGUCUUUCUUUGAAAAACUUCUUUAAAAACACUCCUUUAUGCUUUGCAGAAUAAUUCUACAUUAUUUCCGAUCAACAAUAUGUCAUUCAGAUAUACUUAUCAGAAAUGCUAUAGUGCUCCCACUCACUUUCUUGUAAAUACAGGCUUCACCGCAAGUCUGUAUAAAACUAUAUGUUUUGAUCAUACUAUCAAAGCGUUUAUUCCAACUCCGAGAGGCUUGCACCAGUCCAUAAAUGGAUCGCUGGAGCUUGCACACUUUGUUAGCUCCUUUUGGAUCGACAAAACCUUCCGGUUGCAUCAUAUACAACUCUUCUUCCAGAAAUCCAUUCAGGAAUGCAGUUUUGACAUCCAUUUGCUGGAUUUCAUAAAAUGCGGCAAUUGCUAACAUGAUUCGGACAGACUUAAGCAUCGCUACGAGUGAGAAGGUCUCAUCGUAGUCAAUCCCUUGAACUUGCCGAAAACCUUUUGCGACAAGUUGAGCUUUGUAGAUAGUAACACUACUAUCAGCAUUCGUCUUCCUCUUGAAGAUCCAUUUAUUUUCUAUGGCUUGCCGAUCAUCGGGCAAAUCCAUCAAAGUCCAUACUUUGUUCUCAUACAUGGAUCAUAUCUCAGAUUUCAUGGCCUCAAGCCAUUUCGCGGAAUCUGGGCUCAUCAUCGGUUCCUCAUAGUUCAUAGGCUCGUCAUGGUCAAGUAACAUGACCUCCAGAACUGGAUUACCGUACCACUUUGGUGCGGAUCUCACUCUGGUUUACCUACGAGGUUCGGUAGUAACUUGAUCUGAAGUUACAUGAUCAUCAUCAUUAGCUUCCUCACUAAUCGGUCUAGUAGUCAUAGGAACAGAUUUUUGUGAUGAACUACUUUCCAAUAAGGGAGUAGGUACAGUUACCUCAUCAAGUUCUACUUUCCUCCCACUCACUUCUUUCGAGAGAAACUCCUUCUCUGAAAAGGAUCCAUUCUCAGCAACGAAUAUCUUGCCUUCGGAUCUGCGAUAGAAGGUGUACCCAACAUUUUCUUUUGGGUAUCCUAUGAAGACGCACUUCUCCGAUUUGAGUUUGAGCUUAUCAGGAUGAAACUUUUUCAUAUAAGCAUCGCAACCCUAAACUUUAAGAAACGACAACUUUGGUUUCUUGCCAAACCAUAGUUCAUACGGUGUCGUCUCAACAGAUUUAGAUGGUGCCCUUUUAACGUGAAUGCAGCUGUCUCUAAUGCAUAACCCCAAAAUGAUAGUGGUAGAUUGGUAAGAGACAUCAUAGAUUAACGAGCUCUUUUGUUCAUGGUUAGGAAACAUAACCAUCUUCGAUUAACGAGCUAGUCUAGUAGAGGCAUACUAGUGACACUCUGUUUGUCUAUGUAUUCACACAUGUAUUAUGUUUCCGGUUAAUACAAUUCUAGCAUGAAUAAUAAACAUUUAUCAUGAUAUAAGGAAAUAAAUAAUAACUUUAUUAUUGCCUCUAGGGCAUAUUUCCUUCAGUCUCCCACUUGCACUAGAGUCAAUAAUCUAGUUCACAUCUCCAUGUGAUUUAACACCAAUAUAUAGUUCACAUCACUAUGUGACCAACACCCAAAGGGUUUACUAGAGUCAAUAAUCUAGUUCACAUCGCCAUGUGAUUAACACCCAAAGAGUACUAAGGUGUGAUCAUGUUUUGCUUGUGAGAUAAUUUUAGUCAACGGGUCUGUCACAUACAGAUCCGUAAGUAUUUUGUGAAUUCUAUGUCUAUAAUGCUCUGCACGGAGCUACUCUAGCUAAUUGCUCCCACUUUCAAUAUGUAUCUAGAUCGAGACUUAGAGUCAUCCAGAUCUGUGUCAAAACUUGCAUCGACGUAACUUUUUACGACGAACCUUUUGUCACCUCCAUAAUCGAGAAAUAUUUCCUUAUUCCACUAAGAAUAAUUUUGACCAAUGUCCAGUGAUCUACUCUUAGAUCACUAUUGUACUCCCUUGCUUAACACAGUGUAGGGUAUACAAUAGAUCUGGUACACAUCAUGGCAUACUUUAUAGAACCUAUGGCUGAGGCAUAGGGAAUGACUUUCAUUCUCUUUCUAUCUUCUGCCGUGGUCGGGCUUUGAGUCUUACUCAAUUUCAUACCUUGUAACACAGCCAAGAACUCUUUCUUUGACUGUUCCAUUUUUGAACUAUUUCAAAAUAUUUUCAAGGUAUGUACUCAUUGAAAAAACUUAUCAAGCGUCUUGAUCUAUCUCUAUAGAUUUUGAUGCUUAAUAUGUAAGCAGCUUCACCAAGGUCUUUCUUUGAAAAACUUCUUUAAAAACACUCCUUUAUGCUUUGUAGAAUAAUUCUACAUUAUUUCCGAUCAACAAUAUGUCAUUCACAUAUACUUAUCAGAAAUGUUGUAGUGCUCCCACUCACUUUCUUGUAAAUACAGGCUUCACCGCAAGUCUGUAUAAAACUAUAUGCUUUGAUCAUACUAUCAAAGCAUUUAUUCCAACUCCGAGAGGCUUGCACCAGUCCAUAAAUGGACCCCUGGAGCUUACACACUUUGUUAGCUCCUUUUGGAUCGACAAAACCUUCCGGCUGCAUCAUAUACAACUCUUCUUCCAGAAAUCCAUUCAGGAAUGCAGUUUUGACAUCCAUUUGCUGGAUUUCAUAAAAUGUGGCAAUUGCUAACAUGAUUCGGACAGACUUAAGCAUAGAUACGAGUGAGAAACUCUCAUCAUAGUCAACACCUUGAACUUGUCAAAAACCUUUUUGCGAUAAUUCUAGCUUUGUAGAUAGUAACACUACUAUCAGCAUCCGUCUUCCUCUUGAAAAUUCAUUUAAUCGUAAUGGCUCGCCGAUCAUUGGACAAGUCAAUCAAAGUCCAUACUUUGUUCUCAUACAUGGAUCUCAUCUCAGAUUUCAUGGCCUCAAGCCAUUUCGCGGAAUCUAGGCUCAUUAUCGCUUCCUCAUAGUUCGCAAGUUCGUCAUGGUCUAGUAACAUGACUUCCAGAACAGGAUUACCGUACCACUUUGGUGUGGAUUUCACUCUGGUUUACCUACGAGAUUCGGUAUUAACUUGAUCUGAAGUUACAUGAUCAUCAUCAUUAGUCUUCCUCACUAAUUGGUGUAGUAGUCACAGGAACAGAUUUCUUGUGAUGAACUACUUUUCAAUAAGGGAGAAGGUACAAUUACCUUAUCAAGUUCUACUUUCCUCCCACUCACUUCUUUCAAGAGAAACUCCUUCUCUAGAAAGGAUCCAUUCUUAGCAACGAAUGUCUUGCCUUCGGAUCUGUGAUAGAAGGUGUACCCAAUAGUCUCCUUUCGGUAUCCUAUGAAGACAUAUUUCUCCGAUUUGGGUUUGAGCUUAUCAGGAUGAAACUUUUUCAUAUAAGCAUCACAAUCCCAAACUUUAAGAAAUGACAACUUUGGUUUCUUGCCAAACCACAGUUCAGAUUGUGUCGUCUCAACGGACUUAGAUGGUGCCCUUUUAAACGUGAAUGCAGCUGUCUUUAAUGCAUAACCCCAAAACGAUAGUGGUAGAUCGGUAAGAGACAUCAUAGAUCGCACCAUAUCUAAUAAAGUGCGGUUAUGAUGUUCGGACACACCAUUAUGCUGUGGUGUUCCAGGUGGCGUGAGUAGUGAAACUAUUUCACAUUGUUUUAACUGAAGGCCAGACUCGUAACUCAAAUAUUUUACCUCUGCGAUCAUAUCGUAGAAACUUUUAUUUUCUUGUUACGAUGAUUCUCCACUUCACUCUGAAAUUCUUUAAACUUUUCAAAUAUUUCAGACUUGUGUUUCAUUAAGUAGAUAUACCCAUAUCUGCUCAAAUCAUCUGUGAAGGUCAGAAAAUAAUGAUACCCGCCACGAGCCUUAACACUCAUCGGAUCUCAUACAUCAGUAUGUAUUAUUUCCAAUAAGUCAAUUGCUCGCUCCAUAGUUCCAGAGAACGGCGUUUUAGUCAUCUUGCCCAUGAGGCAUGGUUCGCAAGCAUCAACUGAUUCAUAAUCAAGUGAUUCCAAAAACCCAUUAGCAUGGAGUUUCUUCAUGCGCUUUACACCAAUAUGACCUAAACGGCAGUGCCACAAAUAAGUUGCACUAUCAUUAUUAACUUUGCAUCUUUUGGUUUCAAUAUUAUGAUUAUGUGUAUCACUGCGAUCGAGAUCCAACGAACUAUUUUCAUUGGGUGUGUAACCAUAUAAGGUUUUAUUCAUGUAAACAGAACAACAAUUUAUUCUCUUACUUAAAUGAGUAACCGUAUUACAAUAAACAUGAUCAAAUCAUAUUCAUGCUCAAUGCAAACACCAAAUAAGACUUAUUCAGGUUCAACACUAAUCCCGAAAGUAUAGGGAGUGUGCGAUGAUGAUCAUAUCAAUCUUGGAACCACUUCCAAUACACAUCGUCACUUCACCCUUAACUAGUCUCUGUUUAUUCUGCAACUCCCGUUUCGAGUUACUAAUCUUAGCAACUGAACUAGUAUCAAAUACUGAGGGGUUGCUAUAAACACUAGUAAAGUACACAUCAAUAACAUGUAUAUCAAAUAUACUUAUGUUCACUUUGCGAUCCUUCUUAUCUGCCAAUCACUUGGAGUAGUUCCGCUUCCAGUGACCAGUCCCCUUGCAGUAGAAACACUUAGUCUCAGGCUUAGGACCAGACUUGAGCUUCUUCACUUGAGCAGAAACUUGCUUGCUAUUUUUCUUGAAGUUCCCCUUUUUUCCCUUUGCACUUUUCUUGAAACUAGUGAUCUUGUCAUCCAUCAACACUUGAUGUUAUUUCUUGAUUUCUACCUUCAUCGAUUUCAUCAUCAUGAAAAGCUCGGGAUUCGUUUUCGUCAUCCCUUGCAUACUAUAGUUCAACACGAAGUUCUACUAACUUGGUGAUGGUGACUAGAGAAUUCUGUCAAUCACUAUCUUAUCUGGAAGAUUAACUCCCACUUGAUUCAAGCGAUUAUAGUACCCAGACAAUCUGAGCACAUGCUCACUAGUUGAGUGAUUCUCCUCCAUCUUUUAGCUAUAGAACUUAUUGGAGACUUCAUAUCUCUCAACUCAGGUAUUUGCUUGAAAUAUUAACUUCAACUCCUGGAACAUCUCAUAUGGUCCAUGACGUUCAAAACGUCUUUGAAGUCCCGAUUCUAAGCCAUUAAGCAUGAUGCACUAAACUAUCAAGUAGUCAUCAUAUUGAGCUAUCCAAACGUUCAUAACGUCUGCAUCUGCUCCUGCAAUAGGUCUGUCACCUAGCGGUGCAUCAAGGACAUAAUUCUUCCGUGCAGCAAUGAGGAUAAACCUUAGAUCACGGAUCCAAUCCGCAUCAUUGCUACUAACAUCUUUCAACACAAUUUUCUCUAGGAACAUAUCAAAAUAAACACAGGGAAGCAACAACGCGAGCUAUUGAUCUACAACAUAAUUUGAAAAAUACUACCAGGACUAAGUUCAUGAUAAAUUUAAGUUCAAUUAAUCAUAUUACUUCAGAACUCCCACUUAGAUAGACAUCCCUCUAAUCUUCUAAGUGAUUACGUGAUCCAAAUCAACUAAACCAUGUCCGAUCAUCACGUGAGAUGGAGUAGUUUCAUUGGUGAACAUCACUAUGUUGAUCAUAUCUACUAUAUGAUUCACGCUCGACCUUUUGGUCUCCGUGUUCCGAGGCCAUAUCUGUAUAUGCUUGGCUCGUCAAGUAUAACCUGAGUAUUCCGCGUGUGCAACUGUUUUGCACCCGUUGUAUUUGAACGUAGAGCCUAUCACACCCGAUCAUCACAUGGUGUCUCAGCACGAAGAACUUUCGCAACGGUGCAUGCUCAGGGAGAACACUUCUUGAUAAUUAUUGAGAGAUCAUCUUAAAAUGCUACCGUCAAUCAAAGCAAGAUAAGAUGCAUAAAAGAUAAACAUCACAUGCAAUCAAUAUAAGUGAUAUGAUAUGGCCAUCAUCAUCUUGUGCUUGUGAUCUCCAUCUUCGAAGCACCGUCAUGAUCACCAUCGUCAUCGGCGCGACACCUUGAUCUCCAUCGUAGCAUCGUUGUCGUCUCGCCAAUCUUAUGCUUCCACGACUAUCUCUACCGCUUAGUGAUAAAGUAAAGCAUUACAGCGCGAUUGCAUUGCAUACAAUAAAGCGACAACCAUAUGGCUCCUGCCAGUUGCCGAUAACUCUGUUACAAAACAUGAUCAUCUCAUACAAUAAAAUUUAGCAUCAUGUCUUGACCAUAUCACAUCACAACAUGCCCUGCAAAAACAAGUUAGACGUCCUCUACUUUGUUGUUGCAAGUUUUACGUGGCUGCUACGGGCUUAAGCAAGAACCAAUCUUACCUACGCAUCAAAACCACAACGAUAGUUUGUCAAGUUGGUGCUGUUUUAACCUUCGCAAGGACCGGGCGUAGCCACACUCGGUUUAACUAAAGUUGGAGAAACUGUCACCCGCUAGCCACCUUUGUGCAAAGCACGUCGGGAGAACCGGUCUCGCGUAAGCGUACGCGUAAUGUCGGUCCGGGCCGCUUCGUCCAACAAUACCGCCGAACCAAAGUAUGACAUGCUGGUAAGCAGUAUGACUUAUAUCGCCCACAACUCACUUGUGUUCUACUCGUGCAAAUAACAUCAACACAUAAAACCUAGGCUCUGAUACCACUGUUGGGGAAUGUAGUAAUUUCAAAAAAAUUCCUACGCACACGCAAAAUCAUGGUGAUGCAUAGCAACAAGAGGGGAGAGUGUGAUCUAUGUACCCUUGUAGACCAACAGCGGAAGCGUUAGCACAACGUGGUUGAUGUAGUCGUACGUCUUCACGGCCCGACCGAUCAAGUACCGAAACUACGCCACCUCCGAGUUUUAGCACACGUUCAGCUCGAUGAUGAUCCCCGGACUCCGAUCCAGCAAAGUGUCGGGGAAGAGUUCCGUCAGCACGACGGCGUGGUGACGAUCUUGAUGUUCUACCGUCGCAGGGCUUCGCCUAAGCACCGCUACAAUAUUAUCGAGGAUUAUGGUGGAAGGGGGCACCGCACACGGCUAAGAAUAUGAUCACGUGGAUCAACUUGUGUGUCUAGGGGUGCCCCCUGCCUUCGUAUAUAAAGGAUCAAAGGGGGGGUGCGGCCGGCCAGGAGGAGGGCAAGCCAGGAGGAGUCCUACUCCCACCGGGAGUAGGAUUCCCCCCCCCUUUCCUAGUUGGAAUAGGAUUCGGGAGGGGGGAAAGAGGAGAGAGAGAAGGAAGGGGGGCGUCGCCCCCUUCUCCUUGUCCUAUUCGGACUAGGGGGGAGGGGCACGCGGCCCAGCCCUGGCCACCUCUCCUCUCUUCCACUAAAGCCCACUAAGGCCCAUAUACCUCCCGGGGGGUUCCGGUAACUCCCGGUACUCCGGUAAAAUCCCGGUUUCACCCGGAAAACUUCCGAUAUCCAAAUAUAGGCUUCCAAUAUAUCAAUCUUUAUGUCUCGACCAUUUCGAGACUCCUCGUCAUGUCCCCGAUCCUAUCCAGGACUCCGAACUCCUUCGGUACAUCAAAACUCAUAAACUCAUAAUAUAACUGUCAUCGAAACCUUAAGCGUGCGGACCCUACGGGUUCGAGAACAAUGUAGACAUGACCGAGACACGUCUCCGGUCAAUAACCAAUAGCGGAACCUGGAUGCUCAUAUUGGCUCCCACAUAUUCUACAAAGAUCUUUAUCGGUCAGACCGCAUAACAACAUACGUUGUUCCCUUUGUCAUCGGUAUGUUACUUGCCCGAGAUUCGAUCGUCGGUAUCUCAAUACAUAGUUCAAUCUCGUUACCGGCAAGUCUCUUUACUCGUUCCGUAAUACAUCAUCUCGCAACUAACUCAUUAGUUGUAAUGCUUGCAAGGCUUAUGUGAUGUGCAUUACCGAGAGGGCCGAGAGAUACCUCUCCGACAAUCAGAGUGACAAAUCCUAAUCUUGAAAUACGCCAACCCAACAUUCACCUUUGGAGACACCUGUAGAGCUCCUUUAUAAUCACCCAGUUACGUUGUGACGUUUGGUAGCACAUAAAGUGUUCCUCCGGUAAACGGGAGUUGCAUAAUCUCAUAGUCACAGGAACAUGUAUAAGUCAUGAAGAAAGCAAUAGCAACAUACUAAACGAUCGAGUGCUAAGCUAACGGAAUGGGUCAAGUCAAUCACAUCAUUCUUCUAAUGAUGUGAUCCUGUUAAUCAAAUAACAACUCUUUUGUUCAUGGUUAGGAAACAUAACCAUCUUCGAUUAACGAGCUAGUCUAGUAGAGGCAUACUAGUGACACUCUGUUUGUCUAUGUAUUCACACAUGUAUUAUGUUUCCGGUUAAUACAAUUCUAGCAUGAAUAAUAAACAUUUAUCAUGAUAUAAGGAAAUAAAUAAUAACUUUAUUAUUGCCUCUAGGGCAUAUUUCCUUCAUGCUGCUCUAUACACCAGAUUUCUGAAGAUGCAAGUAAAUUGAGUAAGAAAUAACAGAAUCCCCUUGUUAUUAAGGGUCAGUACGCACUUUUACAAUGAUAAAUUACACUCCUGAACUUAUGUCCCACCAGGAAGUUUCAGAAGUUCCUAAGAUGGUAUGCUCAGAUCUUGGAGAAGUACGGACAAAUAAUAUGCAGAUAAUCAAUUUGCGGAUUUCCAUGCAGAAGAAGAAUGCAUCAUCUACUUUGCAGUAGGCAAUUUUUUGUAAGCACACAUAUCUUAUUACUUGGGAAUCCUCGCUUCUUUCCAGACUUCCUGAGAAAAGUCACCCCAGUGGUAAUUCUGAAGUUGAUGAGUGCCUCAGGAUACUAAAAGCUGCAGCUGAAAGCUCGAGUUCAGAUUCUACUGAUAGUGGAGGAAGGACAGGAGGUACGUAAUGAAGUUGCUGCUGAAAAUAAAUCAAGGAACCCUGAAAUCGAAACGAAGGGUGGGUGCUCGGCCUCACCGCUCUCUGCCAUGGCGUGCAGGCAGCCGACUGGCUGACGCCACCACACACAACGCCUACCAGUCCCAGUUGAGCGCCUGGAACUCUAGCCACAGCACCGCCGCGCGUCCAGCCUUCAGCGGCCGCGCGUGUUCCCCGUCGACCGUAUCUGAGAUCGAAGGGGCCGUUGGAAGAUGUGGUGGCGACGGCUGCGAGAGUUGGGGGUCAUGGGAACGGGUGGUGGAGGGGCCGCCGGUAGGUUGCGAAAUCGGUGGGAGCAGCGAUCUGGGCGGGGGAGGACGCGACCUAAACUCCAUCGAUCCCCUUUUUACUUUGCUCGGGGGUGUCCCAGUUGUAGACGAAUUGUAUAUUUUUUUAGGAUCAAGUUGUAGAGGAAUUGUAAGACCUGUGUGUCGUGUGCGUGCGGAGAACCCAGCGUGGGCCGGCCCAAAGCAGCAAUGUGCCGAACUACAGAAAUUUUGACGACGGACAAAACUACAAACGGUUCCCCAAAUUAGUACCACCUUGUUUAUAUUAUGAUUUUGUCUAUACAAAUCGUAAAAAUGUAUUAUGACAUGAGAAGAAAGCGUAUUGUGACGAUGAACCCACGGAGUCAAUCCGUGCUUUAUUAUUAGGGAGAGAAAAAUAAAUUAGGGAAAGAUUAGGGAAAGAUAUAUAUAAUUAUUAUUAUUACUAGCAAAAGAGCCCGUACGUUGCAACGGGGUAACAAAAAUUAUAUUUCACCAGUUAUCACAAUUGCUCCGUCCCCUCAUUGUCAUCGACCUAUUCAUCCUUUCGCCCUUUUGCAAGUUUUAUUAUGUACACGAGCUUGUGGUUUUCAUCAUCAUACUGAGCAAAUGCCAGUUAGAAAUGAGAGGUGGAGGUCAAGGGCUACUUUAAGUACCAUCUUAAUGACUGGAGCCUCGAUCUGUUUUACUCGGAGUGCCUUACUCGAAUGAAUGCAACAUAAAAAAAUAGUCCGUUGAAAGAAUUUUUCAGGUAUGCAUGUAUAUAUAUAUAUAUUUAAAAUUUAUACACAUUUUUUCUCAGGAAUUUUUCAUAUAUAACAUGUUAUAUUUUGAGUUAGUGUCUGAUAGUUAAAUAUUUUGAAGAGUAUUUUAAUCUGUUAGAACGCAAUGCCUUCAACGUGGUUGAUCCCAUGAUGAUGAUCUCGACUACUCCGCUCGCAGCUGACAUUGAACCAUGCCAUCACAAGUGAAUGUCUAAUACUCCCUCUGGUCCUUUUUACUCUGCAUAUUAGAAUUCUCUGAAGUCAAACUUUACAAAGUUUGACCGUAUUUAUAUGAAAAAAUAUCAACAUCUGCUGUGCUAAAGUUAUAUAAUAUGAAACUUUAAGUCAUGACACAUUUAUUGAUAUUGAUUUCAGAUUGUGAAUAUUGGUACUUUUUCUGUAAAGUUGGUCAAACUUUACGAGGCUUGACUUCAGUCAAAUCUUAUAUGCGAACUAAAAAGGACCGAAAGGAGUACUUUUAAAACUAAUCUCCUCAAGUUGGACGUGACAGUCGCCCUUUCCGUUCUACGGCUUACACUUAGUCCAUACGCUCGUCCCUCAUAUACCCACUCACUUUUAAAUUGUACAUAUUGUUUUUCAAAAUGCAUCAACCUUCCAUUUGAAACACAAAAAGACUUUUUAAAUCACAUGGACCUUUUUAAAGAGCAUAAAUAUUUUUUAAAUUACAGAUAUUUGUAUGUAUGUGAACACUUUUUAGAAUUACAUGAACAUUUUUUGAGAAAGGGUGAACGUUUUUCAAUUUAUAUGAACAUUAUUUUAAUAUGUGAAAACUUUUUUUAAAACCACACUAACAAUUUUAAAUACAUGAACGAUUUUUAAAAAUUAUAUAACAUUUUCAAUAGGCAUAUAAACACAUUUUAAAUGUGUCACUCAUAUUAAUUGGAUUUCGAGUGUGAUCAGGUUACACGCAGGUGCCCAAGUUUAUUCUCAAAGAUUUAGUCAUCUUUCCGGCAGCGUCGCAUUUUGAUUGGACAUGCAUGUCCAUGCCUGGCAAGCACCCCAUGCUUCUUUCCGAGGCUUAGUUUAUUUCCUCGUUUCUCUUAAGCGAACCCUCUGUUUAUUUAUUGAUGUCAUGGCUUGUUGAUUGUGGCAACUCACGUGUAUAUAAAUAGGUGUGAUUUGAUAUCAAAAAGCAAUGUGGGACUAUGACUUACAAUACUGGCCUUAUACUUUUUUGCACAAAGACAAAUAGCUCAGUUGGUGGCAUUCUUAAAAGUUGUUACAUCAGCACAUCAGGACCAGUUGGCCCAUAACACACUGGCGAGGCCCAGCUUGGCGACAGACGUACGAAAAUUACCCGGGACCGAUCGACGACGUACGUACAGAGAAGCGCUAGCUAGCUGUUGACGUAUACGAAAUCUAUUUUUAUUUUAAGCUAACCACUACCCCCACAGGACCAGCUGGCCCAUAUAACUUUAUUUAAAAAAUAGGCCCAUAUCACGUGGAUUUAGGCCCAGCUGGGCGACGCAGCAGGGAUAACGAUUCAAACACCAGAGCUAGUUGGGGACGCAGUAAGAUUAAUACCACCUUGUCAGAUAGAAAAAGAUAGAUGAGACGGACGGACAAAAAAACUGAAAGCGUAAAUUCACGUGAAGAAGCGUAUUGUGACGGUGAACCCACGGAGUCAAUCCGUGAGAUUUUUGAAGCUCUUGUUCUCAGUACACGGGAUGCAGUAAACACCAGAAAAAAUAGCACAGAUCAGACGUGAAAAUAUAAUCACUUUAUAAAUGAUACCAAAGGAAUCAAAAUUAUUAUAAUCUGAUAAUAAUUUGAAGUUUGGAAAUUAUUCUACUCUAACAAUUGUAGCAUGCAUGUACUUUCUCUGAAUAUAUGCAAUGUAAUUUUGUUCAAAUAAUGUGCAGGCAGGAAAUACAGUGCUUCCAAAAAUCUAUACUAUGAUCAGUAACGUGCGUGCAAUUCUUGAUAGGAAGGAUAGGUAAAAUCACAUGAUCAACAUAGAAGACAGUUCAGGCGCCCGUUGGAAACCUGUUGUUUUAGUGCUUUAACAAUGAUGCGGCGUCCUAAUUGCGAACAGCAGCAGGUCCGCACCGGAUGAGGCAGCUCCAGCGUCCUCACGUGCCGCAGCAGGAGACAAGCGGCUGCUCGGAUCCACAGACGACAGAUGUGGUGGCGACUGCCUUGUACAGUACAACGGAGCCAGCGCCGGCAUGCAUCGGUGCCUUGGGUCAUCACGCAGUGCCUCCGUCGAUCCAUCUGCGAGGAAGCCCAUCCAGUCGCUUAGGUAGCUAACCCACGUUGUGCUUCAAUCAAUCAGUUGAAAGUUCGAAACCAAUCCAGCUGCCUCGUCACUCAUCACGCAGGCCUCAAUCGAUCCGACGUCUGCAAGGAAGUCAUCGAGCUACUUAGCUUGCUAGCUAGCGCAAUAAUUCAAUUGAUCUGUCGUCCGCAAGGAAGUCGCCUUCGGCCGCCAAGCUGCUGCUCUGCUGCCUUCGCCAGCGGCUGGACCUUGACCGUCCACUGCUGUCGCGCCUCACCGCUGCCUGCUGCAACGCCAACUCUGCCUCAUGCGUGCCCUAGCUGUCGCCUCCAGGAUCGAAUCAAUCUGCAAUUGUCUCUCUUGCACAAACUCGUUGACAUCCACCGCUACCUGCGUCGCCCACGUACGCGCUUCGUGAGUCUUUCUCGUUGCUCCACGAGUUGACUUUCGAGCCAGAUUAUACUGCUAUGCAAAUAGCGCACUAUGAAGGAUGACGGCAACCAAUACGGCAUCAAGAUGUGAGAUGUGAGAUUGCAGAUGCAACUGGAUCAUGACUUGGGCGAGGAAUCUGUGGUGGUUGUUCUCGUCCAGCACGGCGGCUCUCCCCUCCGCUCGGCCAUGGCGUCGGCAGCUCCCAGCGCUUAUCUAUGGUGCCGGCCAUCUCCGCCACCACAGCGCCCCUCCCCGCUGUCCGACCACGCCUCCACACUCGUCGAACGCCACAUAGCUGUCGCCCCUGCCAACCCCUCUGAUAUCUCUCGAACGCCACAUAGCUAUCGCCCCUGCCAACCCCUUUGAUAUCUCUCGAUCGGGAAAAACUUUGUGAGAGAAAACGAACAGGAGGAGGAAGCGGUGGAUUCCGGGCGGGGCUGCCUCGCGAUUUCCAGCGAGACUAUGCGAACGCGAGAGAGGGUCGUGAGAGAUGCGGCGGAUCCUGCAGAUCUCUUGUCUGGAUUCGGCGAACGAGGAGCAGGGGGUGGGGGCGCGGCGGCGGCGGUGGAACCCUGGUUCUCGUGCGGGACAGCAAUUUUAACGACGGCCGAGUCUAGGUUGCGUACGAAACGUUUUAUCUUUUCCACUUACGGUCGGAUUACAGCGGACCGCGGGUUGAUUGCUAUAAAAUUUAGGGGCUUCUCUGCAAAAACUCCAUGACGGUGAACCCGGAGACCCAAUCCGUGCUUUAUUAUUAGGGAGAGACUAGCAAAAGGGCCCGUGCGUUGCACCGGGAGAAACAAAUCCUUGCUCAUCUAAUCUAUGAUUCCACUUCUCUUGCUUGCCACCAUUGUCGAUGGUGGUUAUGUUGUCCACCUAUCCACGACCUGUAAUGAUCGUAGGUGCCAUUUUUGUCUCAUCUUUUAUUUUCAAGAAAAACGUGAUAAAAAACUUUAAAAAGAGUACAUCUUAAAAUAAAAUUAGAAAGAAAAUGGCCGGAACUAAAAAUCACUACAGAACCAACUAUAUUAAACUGCAUUUGACAUACUGCCAUAGAAUAUUUCAUCAUUAUGCAUAUACUUUGGGAUGAUAAAUUUGUCAAAAUGGAAAGGUGACGAGGAGAAUAUCAGGCGAGCGUGGGAAUUAAUAAAAUAAACCAAAGUGUAAAAAUCAUCCCAGCUUUUAGUAACAAAAUGAGUGGCACAUAUUAUUACUGAAAUUUCUGUGCAGAUCAAAAAGAGCAAUCCGCUUUACUAACAACUUUCACUUAGCACAGUUUUUCAACUUGUAAUGUAAUGUAAUCAUGUAUCCUGAAGGAAUGGCUUCAAAAUCAGAAAUAGCUAGCACGGACCCGAAAUCAUCCUAAUAGGUACAUCUGACCGUGAUUUGUGUUCCAGCGAAACAAAACCAGCCCUUAGCUAGACAAUCUAGAAACACGAACCAGCGUUUGACAGUCAUACUAAAAUACAACAUUCAUUAUACCCCAUUCUGCUACUGCCUGUGCUGCCGCUGUGCAUGCUUCUAUGUUUCGUGCACUGAAGAGCAAUGAGUAUGACAGGGCGGCGGAAGGAAUCAUCUACAGGGACCUUCGUAUCUUCCUUAGCACAGAUUUCAAUUCUGUAGCAGUGGAAUUUGGUCCCCGUUAAUGUAAUAAGGUAGCACACGCCCUAGCGCCUUUCGGUGCGCAUGAGCCAAGCUCUUUUGCCUUGAGGACGAACGGGACUUUGUAUGUGUCUAUGCACCUGGCGAUCCAGCCAAGCUUGCAAGUUAAUGGAAUCACAGUGUUCCAGUUCAAAAAAAUCUAGAAACACAGUUAUUCUAUAAAGUUUUUCUUAUCUCCCGUAGUUCACAUGAAACAACACAAUUGCACUGAAUGGUGAAAAUAUAAUCUACUAACAAUGGAAUCUGCAAAAGCUUCUUUUAUACAUCAAGAGUUGUCAUUUAAAGGAUAAAGAUGGCUCCUGGGUGGCUACAAUAUGACGAGGAAAUGAUUUGUACUUUUAUUUCGUAAUGCAAAGAAGAAAAUAUUCUAGUUUAUGACAGAUACAAAUAUAGUUAUUUUUUCACUUAUUGCUUAGGCAUUCGUUACAUCCAUUCAUCCCAGGUACCUAAUAACAUAUUAGGUUACUUAUAUAAGUUACACUAACAUAUCUACCGAGUCAUCAAACUUUCAUGAAAAAAUGCAAGAAGAUUGACCUCUAAUUGUUUGCAGGCUUUCAUCAUAUAUAUGAUUUAAAAUUAUGUGUGCAGUAAUGAGAUAGAAAUGAAAGAGAUACCAACAUACAUUUCCUGAAUAAAUUAGCAUGAUUACCUGGCAAGAUCACAAAUUGUGUUGCUGAAAUUUCAGGACAACAUGGAAAAGAGAGGGGAUACGAGAAGAGAACUGCCAAAUAAAAAGCCAAAGAAGCUCAUCUCAUCGCCAUAUGCCACCUGUUUUUUGUCUUGGGAAGAAUGGAUGAAACAAACUAAUACCCAGAAUGAAAUUUACCUUUAGCCAUGAUGGAUUAUUUUGAUAACCUAGCACCAUGAGACAGUAUCAUUUUGGAAUAGAUCUUUGAACCAGUGAUUGGUUUGAACUACAAAACAAACGUUGACUUCCUCCGAAUUCUGAAGUGAAAAGCAAACUUAUUGUUCCAGGUACACCUAGCUAGCUAGCGCCUUGUUGCCGCAGUAGCAGUCGCCACAGCUUCCUCCGCUGUGAACCACUGAUGCAGCCUGUUGUAGAAAUUUGUAAAAUAAAUUACCACUUGAAGAACUCUGCAAGUAGCAAAAUCAUAUUGUAAGUACUCAAAAGUACAUUUUCUAUGCAUGUCUGAUAGCUGCUGAAAAUGGAAUUGGAAGGGAAAAAGGGGCACUCUAAUCUCCAUGUUUUUUCCUUGAAGUCAGGUCAGUCUACACCUUAGCAACACAAAUUUAGAUCUGCUAGUAUUGUUGUAGACAUGUACGCAGCUGAAACACUGGGCAGUGUUUCAGGAAUCUGUACAAUAACGUCAAAGGGAAGGUAAUUUAAGAUGGCAUCCAAUUAAUUCAGUAGUGCUGAAAAAUCUAAUUAGUUCAGGAAGACAACAGAACUUUAAAGAUAAGUACAUGUAUAGUUCAACAUUAAGAGAUGAGCAAGUAGAAACAAACUGGCACUUCGAACUGAAUAUUAACAGGGACAAAACUCUGACUGAACUUGUUCAACUUUUUUAGCAAUUCCAUGAAUGCAGAACCAGGGCAACAUUGUUCAAACAGUUUUGGUUAAAACAUUUUUUUCAAACAGUCAAUAAUUUCAGCUUGUAAAUCCCCAAAAUUUCUCCAAAAGAAAACAUAAUAAGUAAACAUGAACAUGCUCUUACUUGUGGUUCCAACAUCAAGAAAUAAAGAUUAGGCGCGUAUUGGCCGCGUCUCUGUCGGGCAUCGUGGCCUCGUAUUGGAUAUCUUUGCUUCUGUACUUUCAAUCUGCCGGGUGUCCAAGCGCUUACUGGAUGUCAUUUGUGUGUGUAUUUGAGCAUAAAAAAAAUAAGUCAAUGGUCCAUCAUUUUUAAAGGAGAAGAACAAUUAUUCUAUCGAAGAACAUCAGCACAUAAUUCAACUUGAUGUCAACUCCACAUGUCCUGGACACCAAAUCCAUUUUAAGUACACAUAAUUAAAAGCUGCAAAUAGUUCUAUAGUCCUACUAAAAAGCAAGUUGGAAACUAUUAUUAGCGAAAUAUUUGAGCGCCUACUCAAUGUUUAUAUCCAAAAUUGAAGUAUCCAGUUUGUUAGACAAAAAAUAUGCAAGCAACAUGAUGAACAACUCUCCAUAACUUAAUUUUCCUAGAUACAUUGGACUGUACAACAUGUUCACUUUUGAAAAGAAAUUACACCAGGCCUGAAUGCCUGAUACACCAAAGAAAAACUUGAAAAAAAUGAAGUUCAACUCCUCAUAAGCAUAACAUCAAACAUGUUGUGGGCGUAAUAUCCAGAGCAGAGGGACACACUUAUUUGGGAAAUACGCAGUUGCCGAUCCAUGAGAGAGAGAUAGAGACAAAGAGAAAGAGAUAGAUCCUGAUGGAGAGGAACAGCAACAUCAGCCCGUGACCAUCACUACAGGGAGAGAGAUGAGAGGCAGCUCCUGCGAUUCGAGGCGAUUGUGUAGGAGGCAAUGGGCAGGGGGAGGCCAAGUGGUGCGUGGCUGUGGUGGAAAGCCUACCGGCGUAGGCAGGCUGGGCGAAGAGCUGGGCAGGUGGCUCCGCACGACGGCGGCCGACGAGCAGGUGCUGAAGCGGGCGGUGGUGCUGAAUGGAUGGGAGCAGGUGGUGUAUUGGAGGACGGGGUCACGGGUUUUUCUUUUCUUUUUGGAUCAACCUUCCUAAACUGGAGCUCGGACUGGCCGCACCCAUGGCAGUUUGCCAUGGCUGCCGGCGCCGCUCGCCGGACCACCGAGGUAGGAGACGCGCGAGUGGACAGCUAGGUGGGACGUGGCCGCGCGUGGGCAGUGCAUCGGGAGGAGCAGGUGGUCUGCGGCGCGGCGAGGGGAGCUCGGGGCAUUGGAGGACGAUGAAGGGAGGGGGAUGAAGAGGGCGGGCCUGAGCAGGCAACAGAGACAUUGACAGUGCUCGGGGCGGAGUAGCACCCGGCGGCGGGCGGCCAUGCGGCCUGAAUUGGGGAUCAUGGGUGGCUGGUGGGGAUAGGCGAUGGCAUGUGGAAAACGAGUCGGUACGUUUACACCAGGAUUGCGGGUUUAUUUUCAUAAAACUCAAGGGGUUUCUGUAAAUUUGUUGACGGUGAACCCGGAGACCCAAUCCGUGCUUUAUUAUUAGGAAGAGAUUACUAGCAAAAGAGCCCGUGCGUUGCACCGGGCGAAAAAAGGAGCACCACCUACUUCAUGUGUCAUUGUGCAUCAUUUUUUAUAUCCAAUUUUAAUAAAUAUCGAUGAAAAGUUGAAUGUGAAAAUUUCCUAAUUUUUAAUAAAAGUUGACACUUAAAUAAAACUUGGAACACUUUCUCAAGAACAGUUAAUGUUUUUUAUGAAAUUGGAACAUUUCUCUGAAAAAGAACAUUUUUAAUAGAUGUUUUGCUUAAAAGAACGUUCUUCAGGAAUAGAAAUGUUUUGUUUUUUGAGGGGUAAGAACAUUUCUCUCAAAAAUAUAUAUUUCAGAAUGUUUUGUUUUUUGAAAAAAUAAAUUUUAUUUUCAAUUUUUCUUUGCACUAUUUGGGCUUGGCCCAAACAUAAGGACUUGGCCUACACAAACAAGAAGACACCAUCGUUGCUAGACGAACUGCACGCACUAUCUCUAUGCACGUUCCCCAUUUCGCUAUCCCUAGUAAAUGUUGCCGCAGGCCGGCGUAUCACGCGCUGCUCUCCACUGGCAUAGAUCGCCGAUUUCUUCUGUGGCGAAUCCCCGGCGACGCCUUGCCAUGUUGCCUCGUCGUUCUAGAUCGACGCGGUCUGUUCGGGUCUCUGGUUUGGCGUCGACCUGGACGAGGUUCUGCCUCUUUGUGUGAUGCAAUGCUCGGCCUGGAUUGAGCAAAAAAAUACUUGUGCGUUGCAACGAUUAAACAAAUCCUUACACACAUUUAGCACUAUAUUGUGCUAUCACUUCUCUUUUUCAUCAUCGGGGGCCAUUUUGUCCACCUAUUCACAAUAAACGUGAUCAAGCUCAACCGUCCAUGUCGUCUAGAGUCGAAACAAUGGUCCAUCUUCAACUGCGACACCACGCACACACGUCAUCCAACACAGUACGGCGUAGCCGAACUGGAGCAAGUCCACACCCACCCACAUGCAUCGCCAGAGAAGUACAUCGCCUUGGGCAUGGUGGUCAUCGAGGCAUUCUUGCCGUCCGAGCACACUGGCCCUGAUCAAUUCUGUCGGCGAGAAUUCUACUAAAAUCAAUAGAAAGGAUAGCUGGAUGAAUUGUUUUGUUGGAAAUUAAACACGCUCCAACCAGAAAAGAUAGGUCAGCUAAUAGCUAGCUUUGUGGUACGUUGCAACUUGCAAGCUAUCGUACUGAAAAAAUGAAUAUAUUCUGAAAUCUGCAUCCACGGGGGAGAUAAAACUUGCUAACCAGCACAACACAUCAUUUUUUAUGACUAAAGGGCCAGCAACCAAGGAGGAACAAUCUUGUUUGUGCUUAAUGAUGGUUCCUGAACUUCAUGGAGCAAAUUGACGAGGUGCUGAUUGCUGGAUUUGGUCUAAAGAGGCACGCCGUGGGAGAUAUCCCUGGUGUCCAGGUUCAAGGUUGUCAUGGUAUCUGGUGUCAGGUUCAGGCAACCAUCAUUAGGCACAAACAAGAUUGUUCCUCCUCAGUUGUUUGCUUUCUCUUAACAGUUGUCAGCAAUCUUUGCCAUGUGGUUGGGGUUGUAGUACAUGCCUAGACGCAGGGUGUGAAGCACCUCCCUGUUUGGAUGCUCCUGGUCAGAAUGAAUGGUAAACAUAGUUUACGCUGUAAAUAAGACUGAACAAGGAUCAAACAAUAUUUUCUCAUUUUGAUGAAGCGCUAAGGGAUAUAAAUUCUGGGCACCAUAAUUUCUUUCCUUAUUUGAUUUACCAUUCAUCUUUAAACAUGAUAAAUUUGACGUUAUAGUAAAAAUAAAGCAUAUAUAAAUUGCAAACUUGUAAUGGGAAGAAAAAUAAAAAAGUUUCUUCAGUUUUUGGACAACUUUCUCACAUUUCCUCUGGACCUUGCUAUCUAAUAUUUUAUUUCAAGUACAAAUCAGACACAUGAAACAUCAUGCAGUUCAUUCACAAAUUUUACUUCAGAAAUUAUUUGAAAAUAAAUUGUGCCUCUCGGCUGAUGCAAAAAGUGAAAUGUCUGAAAAUAUAACUUCAUAGAUUAUAGUGUCAAUAUAAAAAUUACAUCCCAAUAACUUUUUGAAACACAUAACAGUACCAGAAAAAUCAGAUUCUUCUAGGAAGGUGAUAUUCGUGCCCUUCUUGCACCCCAGCUUCACAUCGACCGUCGAGAUCUCCUCCACCGUGAUCGUGUUUCUACAAAUAGCCGCCAUGAGCAAGUAGCGUUUAGUGUUUAAUUUAGCUACCAAAAUAAGUUUCUUAUUUUAUUAAAGACAUGCAUCAAAAUUGACAGUAAAUAAUCCAGAGACCGAGCAGGCUAAAAUAAGAACCGUCCAAAUCAAUAAGACACGGCUGAACUAUUUGAUUGAAGUAACAAAGAAUUGCAGUGCAAAUAAUCUAGCUUUAGGAUAGAUCAUGAACAAUGGUGACUGCCGCUGCAGUCUACUAAAGAAAUCAAACAGACCCAACCGGUCAACUACAAAUUUCUCAGGAUUAAUCUUUGGAACACAUGUACCUCAUACUGAGGUUAAAUAAUUCAGAAUGAUUGAGUGAGCUAAAAUCUGAAGACGGCUUAAGAUUGCUGAAAACUGCUCAAAUCAAUAAUACAACUAAAUUGUCAGAUGGAACCAAAAGGAAAUUGUAUUUGUCAAGUUUAAUCUGGACCAACUAAGACAGUCUUCAAUAUUCAAGAAAGUAACGGAUCUUGAUUCUUAAUCAGCGAUAACAAAUGACCACAUGCAUACAACAGAGGGAAGGAGAAGAUACUCACAUGUGUACCCACUUGAAUUUCCUAUAAGUAAGAAAGGGUAGGGAACAUAAUUAUAGUAGAAGGAUUCAAAUGGAUGAACUGAGCGGUGAAAUCUUCCUGGUUAUUAUCAAUCACAACAUCGACCAGAAUAGGCGGCGAGGUUGAGACUCGGGGGGGUUGGGAGCAGCAGGGCGGCAGGGCUGGUUUCUUGGACGGGCCGUCGGUGUGGCUGUCGAGGAGUAGAGGCCAUAUCUUAGAACCUGUGAAGGACAGAGAGCUAGCGAGGAGAUGAAGGCGAGAUGAAUCGGCCGCUCACUGCUACCAAGUCGCCGCCGUCGCCUACCUGUACUCGGAGGCGCCGCCGCCGGCGGCUGACUGCUCUCUCCUUGUCAACCCCCCUCCUCCUCUCUCGGUUAGGCGUCUAGAUAAGGCUGGGCGAGGGAGGGAGCGGCGAGGAUGGUGGUGGUAGAUGGCGGCAGCAGCGAGGGGAGGGGGGGUCCGACCUGCCACCGGCCUCCUCCGGUGCGAGGCGAGGCGAGUCGGGCGGAGGGUUGGCCUGCCUCCGGACGCCUCCGGUGCGAGGCGAGGCUAGUUGGGCGCGGGGUGGCCUGCCGCCGGUGAGGCGAAGCCGUCGGGGAGAUGCAGGUAGGCAUGCGUGUGCGAGAGGAUGCGGGCGACCCUUUUUUUUCACGGGAACCAUUAUUUUACUUAGGGAUGUGACUGCGGGUUAAUUCCUAAAAAGCACAGGGAUCUUUAUGCAAAAACACUGCGACGGUGAAUCCGGAGACCCAAUCCGUGCUUUAUUAUUAGGGAGAGAUUAUUAUUAUAUAUAUAUAUAUACAUAUAUAUAUAUACUAGGAAACAUGCCCGUGCGUUGCUACGGGUUGGAUGGCCAGUGGUUGGAGAGAGAUGGGUGCACGGAGGACUUCCACCGGGUGCAUUUUUCUUGACUUUAAAGCACAUUCUUCAAGAGUUCAGUUACUAAUUCAAAUGAUUUUGAAGUAAAAGAACACAUGAUGUCUUUCAUCUGACUUCAAUAUGACGUUUUCUCACAAGUAAAUGAAGUAUCGUACUGAUAAUAAAAAAAAUCAUACACACGACAAUUAUGUUGAGUUACUGAUAUCAUAUAGUAAAAAUGGUGUAUACUUCGCUUAACGUCCAACCAUGUUGUGUAUGUGCAUGCUAAUCGUGAAGUCCUAAUUCAUGUACUAUUCUGUUCUGUGGUUUAUAUGCAGGUUCUCCAUCACACUUGAAUUUUUGUUUAGUGUGUUGCGUCUCAAUUCACGGUUAGCUGUAAUUUGUUCUAUUCUAGCUUUCUUUUUUUAUUCUGGUUGCAUAUUUGUCUAUUUCUGCCUUUCCCGCGCACCUUUUUAUCUUCUGUGUUGACUUCAUGUUUGAAUAUUUCUUCGUCCCUUGUGUGUAUUUUUUGCAACUGGGGCCAAUAUUUAAUUCUUUUUUGAAAUGAUAGGCUUUACGACGGUUUUUCAGUUUUUUCUAUUUAUCUUCAUUGGUCAUUUGUGCAUACUGCUCUCUAUCUUUUUUUCUUUUUUGUUUCUUAGCAUCCAUGACUCGAGAUUGCCAUCAAAAUUGCUUGCCUGCAUGUAUACUGUAUGAAUCUGGUGUUGAUUAAAAGCUAAUAUAAAUUUUGCAUCAUAAAUAGAGUAUAUGUAGCGACUUAUAAAUAAAUUUAAUUACGCUAGACAUAAGUAUAAUAAUAUAUGUGUUGUUUGCGUGCUAGAGUAUCAUGUUUUUUGAAGUAAUUUAGAAAGCGGAAAAAUGAUAUUAAAGUAAGAGCAUUGCUAUAUACACCAUGUUUUUUGUCCGACAAAUUUCAGUACGAUGUUGUAGAUCAGUCUAUUAAUGCCUAGUGACAAAGCAUAUACCACACCAGCAGAUUAAGUAUUGUAUUGACAUUAGACAGUAAAAAUAUCAUAUAUAUAUAUAUAUAUAUAUAUACAACACUUUCAAAAUAAUUUUAUCUGGAUGCAAUUGUUCUUUUUUCUCCAUAGCAUCAAUUUUGGGUCAAAAGGAUGUUUAAGGUGUUUGCCAUGUUCCUCCAUACCACACCUUCAACGUGACCAUCUUUAGGGACAUCAAACAUUGUAUCUUCUUUCUGAUUCGGAACAACAGCUUUAACUUUAUUGAGAACAACUAAACACUCCGUGGCCAUAACAUGUAAAUGCCUAUGUUUUGACAUUGAUGAUUUAUUAUGCACUCGUAUAAAUCGAGAUCAGCCGUGGCCAUAACACGUAAAUGCCUAUGUUUUGACAUCGAGAUCAGCAGCCCCCGAAGAUAAUUUAUGUAUUUAUUUCAUUGGACGUCUAGACAUAUAUGUUUGUGCCGUAUGUGUCGUGACCUGUGUAGUUAGUAUGAGUACAUAAAAAAAGUAUGAAUACAUAAAAAACACAAACAUAUGCAAAUCCAACUUAAAAAAGAAUGUCGUACCAAACCCGGCAAUUAUGUAAAAAUGCAUGCACGACGAUUUGAUCUAGUUGAAAGUUUACACGAGGUUACCUAGUUAUAUAGGAGUAUUACCAAAUCUAGCUAAAUCUAAUCCUAUCCUACGAAAAUUGCUUGUUUUCAAGCGGCCGUACACUUUUUUUGCGAGAAAAGCGGCCAUAGGCUUGUCCCACCGGUCGUCUCGCGCGGGUGACGCGUAUCGUCUGGCGCACGCACCGCUGUUCCUCAUCGACCUUAUCUUCAUAGCCGUCCCUUCUUGUCCCCGUCAUCCCCAGUUUCCUUCCUCCCUUCUCUCCCCUUAUCUCUGGAACCCCACUGAUGCGCAAGCAAGAGCCACCGCCAAGGCUUGUGCAAGCUCACGCCAUAUCCAGCAACAACCAUGCUUUCUCUGCAAGCACAAAUCCAGCCAUGGUGUGUUUGACGGCAAUUAGCUGACGGCGGUGAGAAGUUGCAGCAGCGGCGAGCGUUCUCGCGCGACUCUCUCGUAUGGGGGGUAGCAGCAAUGGGGCGGCUGCAAAAGCAAGGCUGGUCGCCGGCGGGAGCGCCAGCCACGCGGGGUUGCUCGCCGGAAGCAUCCGAUGCAAGGCCGCUCACCGGAAGCAUCUGAUGCUAUUGACGGCGACCGGCAGGCGGGGUGACGGCGGAUGCUGGUGUUGCGAGGAUGACGAAUACCCUAGCCAGGUCGUUUGCAUCAGCUUUUCAUCUCAAAGAUGUAUCUCCUGUUGAUCCAUGUACGCUCGAGGCUUCUUACGAAUUUUAAUUCAAUGACGUAUAUAAAUUGGUAUGAUGGGACAUAACAAAGUGAAGUGGUACUUUUGAUAGCAGUUCAAAUCAGUUUUCUGUACACAAUAAUGGGCUAGCUCUGUUCGAUGCCAUCGAGGACCUAACAGAAGUAGGGAGUACGAUCAGCGGAAGUUUUUGCCUCCUCUCUUGAUUGACUAGGCCGGCUCCCAUCAUGUCUCAGCUGGAUUCCACGGGCUGUGGCCCAGGUGGGCGACGGGUGACCCAACGCCUACCAAAGAGAAAAGAAGGGGAAAACGGACGGACGAACCAAGCGAUUUUUUAGUGAGGUGUAUAUAUCUAAAUUCAAAGUGAAAGUGUAAAUUCACGGGAAGAAGUGUAUUGUGAAGAUGAAUUCACGGAGUCAAUCCGUGCUUUAUUAUUAGGGAAAGAUAUUAUUAUUAUUAUUAUUAUUAUUAUUAUUAUUAUUAUUAUUAUUAUUAUAAAUAUAAAUAUAUAUAUUAUAUAUAUAAUAUAUAUUAUAUUAUAU